rnacentral:lncRNA from 1 species
ACCAAUUGUAACUUUAUAUUGUAUAAAUAUAUUCUGCAGUAUAUGUCUCAAAUUGAUGAGGCUUUUCCCACAUUUAACAAAAGGAAAACUAAAUUAACACCAAAUUGCCCAAAAUUAAACCAUAUAUUAUACUAAAUUAAUUCACAACAGUUCGACAUCAAUCAAAUAUUAUCUCGCACUCGAAUUCACAAAACUCACUUUCCGGGUACAAAGUUUGUAGCAUAUGACCAUGCAUUGUUUGCAACAGGGUCAGCAAGGUGGUCAGCGAGGUUCUCCAAUGGUCCCUUUCCGGUAACAAUGGCUUGAACAAAGAAUCCAAACAUAGAGAACAUGGCUAGUCUACCGUUCUUGAGCUCCUUCACUUUCAGCUCAGCAAAUGCCUCUGGGUCAUCAGCCAGACCCAAUGGGUCGAAGCUACCACCAGGGUAAAGUGGGUCAACUACCUCACCAAGAGGUCCACCAGCAAUUCUGUAACCUUCAACUGCACCCAUCAAGAUCACUUGGGUAGCCCAGAUGGCUAAAAUGCUUUGUGCAUGGAUCAAACUUGGGUUCCCCAAGUAGUCAAGACCACCCUCACUAAAGAUCUGGGAUCCAGCCUUGAACCAUACAGCCUCACCAAACUUGACACCAUUACGCGCCAAGAGUUCGGGGAAGACGCACCCAAGAGCUCCGAGCAUGGCCCAUCUGCUGUGGAUGACCUCAAGCUCACGGUUCUUGGCGAAUGUUUCAGGAUCAGCAGAGAGCCCAGCAGUGUCCCAACCGUAGUCACCGGGGAACUCACCGGUCAGGUAAGAUGGGGCUUCGCCGGAGAAUGGGCCAAGGUACUUAACACGGUCGGGGCCGUACCAUGGACUUCCUGAUGGUGCGACUUUCUUGACUGCUGUCUUCCUCAUGGAAACCCUUCCAUUUCCGGUGAUUUCUGAACCAGAUGGUGCUACUUUCACCGCCUGUCCGACGAAAGAAGAGGAUAGUGCCAUGGUGGAAGCUGCCAUUUUUGUGAGAUUUGUUUUGAAGAUGUUUUGAUGAUAUGAUAGUAUUAUGAGUGAUGAAGAUGUGUGGAUCUGGAACAUAGAUUUAUAGGGUGGUUUUUGGGCCAAGUAGUUGAUAAAUGUUUAUCUUGAUGCAAUUUUUAACUUCAUUUUGAUUGGCUACCAAGAUUUUAGUUCUAUCAGUGGGUCCAUAAUCUGCGUGGUUCCACUAUUCGAGUUCUCUGGCCCACAUGAGAUAUUUGAAGGGGCAGCGAUAUUCAUGGCUCUGUCUUAUUAAGCGAAUAUAAUGGCUAGAAAUCUCAGCCACUAGCUACCAUGCACAAACCGGUUUUUUUUUUGAACCGGACCGCUUCAAAAAUCCGGUUCGGUUCUAGUCAAUUUAGUCAAAACCAGUUUGGUUCCAAACCGGUCCAGCUUCAAAAUAAUUCAAACGUAUGUAAACUCGUUAAAGAAAAAACCGGUUCAAAAAGGGUUCAAAACCAGUUUGACGGAAAAAAGGUUUUUUUCAAUUUUUAUUUUGUUUUUAGGCUAAUAACUGAAAAAUAGGAAUUUUUUUUUAUAAUAUUGCUUUUAUUGUGUUUAAAAAAAAAGUUUCACACUAGGUUUUUUGAAAAUGGAAGUGGAAUGAAUUGGGAAUUCAUAAGCCUUUUUUUUGGUAAUACACACGUACACACGUCCAUAUGCCAAAAGGUUUUUAUUAUUAUUUUUUUUAUUUCUUGUUUAAUCUUUUGAUGUAUUAAAUUUUUUUUUUGUUUCAGAUUUGAUGUUUUAUCUUUUUUUUUUUCAUUUUUUUUGUUUUUUAUAUUGGAAAUACAUAAUACAACUUCAAACAUAAAAACACAAAACAUCCAAAUUGUCAAACUAAUACAUCUUCAAAUAUAAAACAUUGAUGUCGUCGUAGUCUUCAUUCCAAGUCCGUAGUCAUUGUAUUUAUUCGUCAUCCGCCAUGUCGUUGCGUAAUUCUCUCUCAUACUCGAUCUCUUCUAGGGUGAGUGACACCGACAUUCCCAUCGCUACUUCUUCCUCAUGUACUCGUGCUUCGACAUGCAACGAUGUGCCUUCUAGUGCUUCGAUGUCUUGUAUCCUUUCCACGCCAUCAAGGUAGUAUUUCAAGCAAAUGCACACUUCCACCGACAAAUGGGUUAGUUUUGUUCUUCUUGGUGAUAUUACCCUGCCACUAACAGAAAAACCGAUUCCGANUUACCCUGCCACUAACAGAAAAAGCCGAUUCCGAAGCUACCAUAGAAGCUUGGGAGCUUAGUAGAUCACGGGCCAUAGCGGCUAGAAUUGGAAAUUAGGUUUCCUUUCCUUUCCACCAAACCAAAAUAUCAAAAUUUUCAAACUCUUGAAUACUCAUUUCACUACUAGAAAAAUAGCCUUUUACGACGCGCGAACAACGACACGCGCUGUUUUAUGAUACACAAUAGUGUGUGCCCUAAAAAUAAUGUCGGCUCUCCAAAAAUUAGAAGGAUUUAGGGUACGCAUUUUUGCGCGCCCUAAAAUAAGUGUUACAUUAAAAAAAAACACGGAGGGCACAUAACAUAAAACGCGCGUCCACUAAGUAUGUCGCUUUAUAUUUUUUAAAUGAAAUGCGGGUCACAUUUUUUAGGGAAAACGAAAUUCCAAAAAGUUUGAAAGGCCCGCCAUGUUCCUACCUUCUUUCCACCGUUCUUCUCUCCCUUACUCAAAAUACCCAAAAAAAACCCUAAUAUACUCAUCGCUCCUCUUUUCUCCCAUAACAAACUCGCACCAUCACCAAAUCUCUGAUCUCCCACCAGCAAAAGGUCUCCUACCGAUGUCUCCACCUACUCUCUGCCCUCUCACUAUUUCUCUCAAUUAAAAACGCUAGAUCUCUCAAUCAGAGAACCAUGGCUACUUCUCCUUUCUCCCACACCAGUUGGCAAAAAGUGAGGAGUCUCGAGCCUAGCAGUUGAUAUUCACAUGCCCUCUUAAAUUGAAGGAAUCAGAACAUUGUCGACAUCAAUUCGUUAAUCAUCACUAGAGAAAUCAGAUACGCCAUCUGGUUGAUGAGUCAAGAGAAAUCACAUAUGUCAUCGCUUCAGCAAUCAUCCCUCCUUUUAACCGUAAGUUUUCAAUCUUACACUUUACAAAUAUCAUAUAAACAUCUCUCUCUCUCUCUCUCUCUCUCUUUCUCUCUCCUGCUAUACCUUGAUGAAUUAUCGCAUACAUAUGGAGGAACUGCUUUCUAAAAGCCAGCUAUCGGGAGAGUCAACAGGGUCAAUUGGGUGUUCAAAAGGUGCUUCGAUAUCAUCUUCCCGCCAGCAAAUCUCUGUUAAAGUUGUCACAGAGUAAUCCAUUUGAGUUUGGGCAUAUAUUUUUUGUUAUUAAUUUAGGGGGAGACUGUGUUCCAUGAUUUUGGUCAUGCAUUUCUUCAGCACACGCUAACAAGACAAGAUGAAGGGCUUGUUGUUGGUAUUCGUGGCAUAGAGUGGAUGCUGUUGAGUUACCUUUCCAGUUCAUGGAAAAUUGGUGCUACCGUAGGUAGGUAUAUAUAUCUCCAAUUUCAAGAUGUUGUUCAACUGCUGCAGGAACGAGGUGAGGGUGGCUGAUGAGAAUUUGUGACAGGAACUAUCCGAUUGGGGAUUCCAGCUCAAGUGGGGCAGUUGGCGCAUCAGAUCCAGCAGAAUCAGAAGAUAAUGAGGCCUUUAUUGCAAUUCUCUUCUUUUGAAUAUGAAAAGAUGCACUUUUCAGUCCUAAUCUGGGAUGUGAAAAUGAAAGGAACCCCUGUUUAGCCAACAAAACAAAGUAAAAUUCAGUUACAACACUUACCCAAAUAUAGCAUUCUACCUUUAAUUUUUCUCAUCAAGACAAAAUUGAAUCAGUUAUGAAACCGACCACAUAAAAGGCUGUUUUUCUAGAGUUGCAAUGUUAGGAAUAAAAGUCACAAUGGUAUGUGGUCGGUUUCAUAACUGAUUCAAUUUUGAUGAGUAAACAGGUUAGAUUUCAUAUGGUUGUUUGUUCAGAUUGGUAUUCAUCCUGAUUUUCCUUCAAUUAUGCAACAACUAUGCUGGAAUUUGCUAUGUUCCAUACUCGGAUUUUGAAUUUAUCGGAAAAUUGAAUAAUUAAUCUGGAAAAAUACCAUCUUUGAAUGAUUUUUUUGUCAUCUGUAGAUAAGGAAUACCAUCUUUGGGUAAUUAGUUUAUCUAGUCUACAUGAUUAAAUUAAUGGACAUAUAAUUCUCUAUUGAUAGAACAAAAAACAUUGCUUUGUAGUGAAGAUAAGGAAUACCAUAUUUGGGUAAUUAGUUUAUCCAUACUCGGAUUAUGAAUUUAGCCCACCAUCAGCAGGGGAUUGCUGAGUUUUAUGUGACCAUAAUGCCCUUUCGGUUUGUAGUGAAGAUCCAAGCAUGUAAUUAAUAACACCUCUAAUUAAUUAAUUAAUUAAUCCCCUAAAACUAACUAUGGUUAAAUUAAACUGGUGGUAGGUGCCAGUGUACAUAGGGGCACAUAUGGUCAAAUAUGUUUUAAUUAUUAGUCUAAUAUCUUUUGAUACUUAUCAAUAACAACAAAAUAAUGUAAAAUCGUGUGAAUACAAUUCAAGGGUAUAAUGGUCUAGACAGAGAUUAUUUUUAUUAAAGAUAUUUAUUUAUUAAUCAUCAGAGAAGAAGGAAUUAAUAUGAAAGAAUCACUUACUGCAAAAUAAUCUUCAAAUGUAAAAUCAACAUAGCCUAAGCCCUGAUUUUUAUUUCACCACAGGUUGGCGAGCUGGCGGGAAUAGCUUUGGGAGCAACUGUCAUGCUUAAUAUUCUUAUAGUUGUGUACGUUAUGGUCAAAAUAGUUCAGCAAGAACCUCUGUUGAAAUGAUAUAGGCCACUAAUUAUUUAAAACUAUCACUGGCUCCUCAUUAUGGUCAAAAUAGUUGGUCUGUUAAAAAUUGUGACUAUGAGCAAUUUGCCACUUCUAAAUGGGUUCUUUGUAGUUUUCCUUUCUAUAAUUCAGGAAAUAGGAUCAUAUUUUACUCUUGCAGAAAUAGUUAUGGUCUGUGAGCAUUCUUCCAGAUUGUAAGAACGUAAUUUUCAACACAACAAAGGUGAAAUUAUAUCUAUGUUUUCUUGUGUAUUUAACUUCACAGGAGCUGAAACAUGAUCUAAUUUUUUUUAUCUAUUGGUUAUGUUGAAUAUGGAUAAAAGGUUGUGGCUCAGAAAAGUGUUGGUGAUGCUUCUACAUUUGUUGAGAGUGAAUUUUCACUGUCAAAUUCAAGUUGGAUUUGGUAUGUAGAAAAAGUGUGUGUUUAGAGUAAGGACUUUUUCCUUGUUGGACUGUAAUAGUAGACCAAUAUGAUUCGUUUUAUAAAACCCUUAGACAGAUCACAGUUGGUUCUGCAAUUGCAUGGUCAGGUAAACAUUCUAAACACAUUUUCAAUUUAUUUUGUGAUAUUUAAUUUCUCCCAUAUUCUUUUAAAUUAUAUUAUAAUAUGCUUAUAAACACUACUUUCCUUUCAUGUAGCCAAAAAAUUGUCCCAAAGUUGACUGAGGUACUUUGGACAAAAAUACAAUGUUAGCUUACAUCUUUAUUAGUUAAUAUAAUCAAAUUUCUAAUUUUAGGUGCUAACUGAUACGCGUCCGCAAGUUCAGUCUGCAUGGCAGACAACACUCCAGCAGGUUUGACUAUAUUCUUAUGGGUUGUGGCAUUCACAUUCCCAUAGUGAUCUUGAUAAAGUUGCUUCUAUUUCCAUGCUAAGUUGGCUUUUAUUUGUAAUAUAGGAGGUCCAAAAUCUUGCAAAGAAGGCUGCAGAAACUGUGGUGUUGGUAAUUGAUGAUGAAGGGACUGAGUAUUUGAUAUCAGAACUUCUCAAGUUGCUUCUAUUUCCAUGCUAAGUUGGAUUUUAUUUAUCUUACUGUUUAUUAUCAUUUUUUAUAUAAAAUUUCAUCAUUUAUAUUAUAUAUAUAGUACAUUAUAGACUUUGCAUCAUAAUUUGUUGAAUGUUACAAGAUAUAAUUCAAAAUUCAAUUUCCUCAUGUUGUUGCUGAAAUGACAGCAAUUGGUUUUGGCCUACCAAAGAAUGCAUUCACCGCUUUAAUGAAGAAUGUAAGUGUUUAUUUUUCUUUUCUGUUUGGUGAAAAUCAUCAAAUGACAAUCUCAUUAUAUAUCUUAGGAUCUUAUCAGUUAAUAAACUUGAUCGUGGGUAUGAUCAAGCAUAGGUUUACAUUUAUACCCCUGCUUUUAUCUUUUAUCUUUUAUGUUAUAUAAUUAUAUUCCCCCUUUUUUUAUCAGGUUAAUUUGGUGGUUAAUUAUGAUCUUCCUAUAAGACAUGAUCAUCAAUCUCACUACAAGAAAAAUACCCUUUUACGACGCGCAAAACACGACGCUCUUUGAUUUAUGUUACGCAUUAGAGAGCGACAUUAAAAAAGUGUCAUCUCUUAAAAAAUUUUAAGGAUUUAGGUCGCGCAUUACUGAGUGCCCUUAAAUUAGUGUCUCAUGUAAAAAUAUUAAAAACACGGAAGGCACUUGUGCGUCGUCUGUGAAUGUCGUUUUAUAUUUUUUUUUAAGAAACACGCGUCUCGGAGGGAAAAUGAAAUCCCCAAAUUUUUUAAACCCCCACCUUUUUCUCCCUCGUCUCCACCCCUCAUCCACAUCCACUACCUCCGAUCCUCAUUUCCUCUUCUAGCCUCAAACUACGGCGAUGCACCUUCCUUCUCGAAGAAUGCUUCAUUUACCACCAUCGUCCGAUUAUGUGAGCCCAAGGAAUUGACCAAGACGAAGAAGAUAAUGGAUCAAUUGCUUCACAUCAUGUUUAAGGUUAAGGGUUUGAGUUAGUCCGCAACAGGUAAUCGAAUUUUGCCUAAUAUAUAUUUCUACUCUCAAACUGUUUAUUCGUCCGAUUGGAUGCAUAUUUACUAUUAAAUUUGGGGAUUUUCUUUUAAAACCCCCGCGCCUCUUCUUGUUUGUAGCUAAACAACCGUGAAUUUGUUAGAGUGAUUGGAAGAGGAAAAAUAGAAGAUAGAAGAAAAAGAAGAAGAAGAAAAGCGAACAAACGGGAUUUCUUGACCUGAUGUGUUAAUCCGUGAUCAGGUCUUCUGAGCGAAGAGAAGAUCUGAGGCUCAAUUGAAGAAAUAUGAGCGCUUCUAGAUUUAUAAAGUGCAUCACAGUCGGUGAUGGCGCUGUCGGGAAGACUUGUCUCUUGAUUUCCUACACCCGUAACACCUUCCCCACGGUAAUCAUCUCUUCAUCAACCGCCUUCAGUUUCUGCCCAACUAAAGCACGGUUACACACUUAUUUCUCUUCGGACGUUUCUGUGGCUUCCAUGGGAACGGAGGAGGAUGAUAUAAAUGAGGCAACAACUUCAUUCGCUACAUGUUUGAACCUUAAAUUGAAGGGAUUAUAUAUUGAAAUUUGAAUCUACAACUUCGAAUUUCAGUCAUCUCUCUUCUCUUCUACAUCUCACCUGAUUCUCUAUUGAAAUUUCUAGGGUUUUUAAUUGAACCUACAUCUUCAUCUUAAUCUUCUUUUCUGAAGUUAGGGCUUUUUUCUUAAGAACAACUAAUUUUUUGCAGUAAGUAAACCUCUAAUUUUUUCAUUUCUCAUUUCCUUAGACCUCUCCCCUUUCCAUCUCAUAUCGAGGCAAAAUCAAUUUCACUUUGGUGGCUUCGAUUUCCUAGCACAUAUUAUGUUAUUAUAUGGAUUUGUAGGAAAUUAGAAAUCAUGUUAGAAUGUUUGAUGUUCUGUAUGUUCAUAAAAGUACAUCUAAAACAAAAAUCUUAGAUUAAACAAAACUGAAGCAUUUAAUGAGAUGUAAUUACUAACUUUUGUUGGAGAUGCAAAUGCUAAAUAAAGAAAACUGAAGCAUUAAAUGAGAACCUUUAUAAUUCGAUUUCAUUCAGAUCUUCGGUGGAUAUUUAGGGCUAACAAAGAAAACUGAAGCAUUUAAUGAGAUGUAAUUACUAACUUUCGUUCAAGGUAACCCCUGUUAUGAAUACAUGUAAGAAUUUAUUUAUCUUUUUCUCUCACCACUUGCUAUCCAUGUGCUGCUCUCUCAUAGUUGAUAUCUAACAACAAAGACCUGAUCAGUCUAGUUUGCUUGUUUUUUUUCUUUUUCUUAUAAUUCUUGAAUACGUGCAGAUUUUUUAAGACUUCUAGUUUUGUUUUUUGUUCAGUGAUAUUGAUGAUGAGGCAAGUUUAUCAACACUAUGGGAGAGAUAUCAAAGUGUCUCUGAAAAGGUAUUGCGAUAUCAAAGCAUAAAUUAUUUAUGGAUUAAAAUGGGAAAAUGACUUAUAUGGGUAAGAAAGUUUUAAAAACUUUUAAAAAUGACUAUCAAAGUAUUGUUUGUAUAAAAAACACCAACCAAGUUUACCAUUUUGUCAAAUCUAACAGGUUGGUAACCUGCAUCUGCCGGUCAAAAAAAAUUACCUGAUCAUUUUAAAAACUGAAAUUAUAAAUGACAUGGCAUCCUUUUUUAGUCUUACGUGGAUUAAUUGCAAGGGAAGAUCCAUUUUCUCAGCGUUCUUUCUCAAAAUCAGGAGGGAGUCAACACAGAACCCUCUCUAGGGUUAGUUUCUGCCCCUGUAUACAGUUAUUUUUGUUUAAAUUGACUGAUUUUAACAGUUGACGAAUAUGCUCCUGCUUUGGGCUAAUCACACAUAUGUCUUUUUUAUGACCAAAUUGCCCCUGUAUAUAGUUUUUUUUUGUUACAAUUGACUGAUUUUACCAGUCAAUUAAGGUGUUGUUUAGAAACUGUUAGUAUCCAAGACCAUUUACAUGCUCGUGCACAAAGACGAAUUUGCCCUUGAUUGUGACCAAACUGCCCCUGUAUACAUAUUUUUUAUUACUAAAAACACCCCCUGUCCUAGAAAAAUAUGACACUUCUAUACAAAAGCUAAUACCAAUUUCUCACUACAAAUCAACUAAUAAGAAAAGAAGUGGGCAACUCUCUAAAAUGACCAAAAUUUGAAUUGCAGUGUCACAAAUUGACAAUUUUUUAAAGCUAUAAUGAAAUAAUGCUUUGUUUUGUAAAAUAUACAAAAUCCGUUUGUUGUUGUGUGCAACUAAUCCACAAACAUUUACAUAAUUCUCGUUAGUGUACUUUGCAAAGUGGUGCUGAAGUAAUUUGGGCAACAAAAGUACAUAUAACUAUAUUAAUAUUCUCUAAAUAAUCAUAUAUAAUGAAAUAAUGGUUUGUUUUGUAAAAUAUACAACCCAUACUGUAUUUUUGAUAAAAAAAAAUAAUGAUUUUAAGAGAUUUUGUCCGAAAUACCCUUAUAUACUCUUUUUUUUGGUAAAAAAUUAAUGAUGUAAUAGUUUUUGACUAAAAUGCCCGUAUAUACUAUUUAACAGGUUUGACCCCAUCUGAAUUAUGAUUCAGCUUAAAAUUGAAUGCCAUUUUGACAAUUUUAUUGCUUUUAAGACUAUUUACUGCUGAAAAUAUGUCAAAUUUGUUACAUUUUGCUGCUAUAAAUAGUCAAAAAAUAACUAAAAGUCUACAAAGAUUCAAGGUAACAGUAAAUAAUACUGGCAUUUCCAGCAGCAAAUCUUCAAUUGCAGGGACUAAACUUUGUCAUUUUUAGCAGAAAACUUUAUCAACCAACAAAAAGAGGUUAAUAAAGAAUCUAAAUGGCAUUCCAUUGUAACAGCAUCAAAACACGACCUGCACUCAAAACCCUCCAAAAUAGCCCCUACACUCAAUUGUAACAGCCCCUCUGUUGUGAUUCCUUUAACUGUGACCAAAUUGCCCCUCUAUUGUGAUUCCUUUAGAUUCAAGGUAACAUUGUUUUAAGUGAAAAGAUCAUUUCAUAACUUGUUUACAUAAAUUCUUUCUUAGCUUGUUUACAUAAAUUCUUUUUCUGUCAAUUCCUUUCAAGACAAAAAGAAAGAAAGCAGGAACUUAUAGCCAUGCAAGUAAUUUCAUUAUUUUUCUCAUUAACGAUUGUACUUCCUUUGCUCUUUCUUGCAUAAUAAUAAACAGAUUUAAAGAGGAGUGGAGCCAUAUGACCACCUGAUGCCCCCAAAUCAAUUUAUUUGAGCUAGAUUUGAACGAUUUACAAGGAGAAGAAGAAAAUCAAUUGUCAAGAGGAGAGGAGAUGUAUGACCACCCACCUGAUGCCCUAAAUCGAUUUAUAAUAUGUAUUUUUCAUUUAAUGCUGAGUAGAUGUGCAACACACUACCUAAAUAUGCCAACUAAUCAUUACUUUUGCCAACUCAGCCGUUCACCUGGAGAUCCGGUUACCACCGGGUCAUAUUUGAACAAAAGAUAAACUUCGUUGGUAUUUUUUGUACGACGCCUAUAGUUAAAUGGUAUUUUUGAACAACUAAAACUUCAAUGGUUUUUUUUGAAUGUUUUUGAAACUUUCUUACCCUUAUAAGUCAUUUUCUCGAUUAAAAUUGAACUUUUUUCAUACAUUACCUAACAUUGACUUGUCUUAAUUUGCAGGCAGAAAUACAAAAGGCUUUUCAUAUAUUUCUUAAACAAUUUUUUGUAAUAUACAAGAAUUGGGAGCCAUUAGAUUUAGAUAAUUCCAUAGAACCUUUCAUUGAUUCAAGGGAUCCUCUUUCUGAAAAAAAGAUUGCAGUGGCAUCAGAAGGCAGUCAUAUCAGUGAUGGAAGCUGGUGGUCUUAAUUGGUUAGUAGGUAAGGUAUGCAUCUUCAGAUUUAAUUUCUAUUGAGAACUAAACACAUUUGAAUAUCUGAGAACUAAACACACUUGAAUAUUUAUAAAUGAUGCACACAUCCAAAGGGAUAAUAGCAAUGUUUCUAAUGGCGUCAAAUAGACCUGAUUGUGACCACUAAUGGUUCAUCAGGUUUGUUGAUUUUUAUUUUAUUUUAUUUGAAGUGCAUUAUCUGGUUUAAUAUGAAAUGAUUCAUGUUGAAAUUGGUUUCUUUUGUUACUCCAUAAUACUUGAUAUCUUAUUUUUUGCAUGCAGGUGCUAACAAAUAUGGUGUCAUUAUCAUUGUUGUUGUUGUUGUUGGAUACGGAUAUGUUUGGUGGAAGGUAAAUAUAAGCUCAUAUAUUAAUAUUAUUACUUUUUACAGUUAACUUGUACAUAGUUUUUCUUCAACUAACAGAAAUGGUAUCAUUAACAGGGUUGGAAACUUCCUGAUAUGAUGUUUGCUACAAAAUGAAGUUUAUCUGAUGCCACAUAUGCUUUAGCUAAAUAGAUUGACACUGUUUACUCAUCACUUGCAGUAAGUUAUUUAAAAACUUUGUUAUUUUUUUGUUAUUAAUUUGGGUUGUUUAUUAUGUUGUUUAGGCUACCAAGAGACAUUUAUCUACAAGGAUUGACCGUGUUGAUAGUAGUUUAGAUGAGGUUGCAGAAAUUACUGCUGCUAAAAAAGAGGAGGUAUGACAAGAUAAAGGUUGUUCUAGAUGUUUAAUCUAUACAUAAUGCGGUUUACACCCUGGUGUGGUUCUUUUCCAUUUUGUCUUGUGACUUUGAUAUUGUUUUCUGAGUUGGAUAUGUGGUAUGAUAAAUUAUUUUUACAUGAGAGUAGGCUGAGUAGGGUUGAAUUGAAAUAGGUACUGAAUAUUACCGUUUGACAUGCGAUUUUUUCUAGCUUAAUGAGAUAUUUAUAACAAAUAAUUUUGAAUUUUUGUUGUCUUUUGUAGGGAAAUCCAUCAAGUUCAUCAAGGCCAGCUCUUGAAUUACCAUAGAGAGUAAACUUCUAAUCUUAUACAAAUACAAUGAUUUGCUAAAUUCAAGAAAUAACAAUGCACUUUUAUUUAUUACUUUUAUUAAAACAUCCUAGUUUAAUUUCUAGCUUAAUGAGACAUUUAUUACUUUUAGCAGAGAUCGAUAUAUAUAUGAGCUUUUUGCUUUCAAACAUUGUUGGGGAAGAAUGUUGAAACUUGCUCUUUGUGAAGGUAAUUUUUUUUCUUAAUGCAUUAUCCUCUAUAUUCUUGAUAUUUUUCCCACUUUUUAAAUCUUUUAUCAAAUUCUCACUUUUGGAUACAGUGCUUGAUGAGAGAAUGUGUGACCUAAAUCUUUUAUCAAAUUCUCACUUUUGGAGUUGGCCAUAAGAAAAUGUAGGCAAAGGGUAAUUUGUUAUAGUUCAGGUUGACAAGGUGCUGUAUUUUUCACAUAAUUGACAAGGAGCUGUUGUAUCUAUUCAGACUAGACUUAGAGCAAUGGUUGCAAGAGAUGAGUUCAGCAGAAAAAGAAACAAGGCUGCAACUAUAGUUAAGGUACUAUGGAUGAAUUAUGUUUGUAAAGUAUUUAAGAAAAUGAUUAUAAACAAGGGUGAAUUUGUACAAAUUAGUUAGCUACUUGCANUGAGUAUUUGAUAUCAAAACUUCUCAAGUUGCUUCUAUUUCCAUGCUAAGUUGGCUUUUAUUUAUCUUACUGUUUAUUAUCAUUUUUUAUAUAAAACUUCAUCAUUUAUAUUAUAUAUAAUACAUUAUAGACUUUGCAUCAUAAUUUGUUCAAUGUUACAGGAUACAAUUCAAAAUUCAAUUUCCUCAUGUUGUUGCUGAAAUGACAGCAAUUGGUUUUGGCCUACCAAAGAAUGCAUUCACCGCUCUAAUGAAGAAUGUAAGUGUUUAUUUUUCUUUUCUGUUUGGUGAAAAUCAUCAAAUGAAAAUCUCAUUAUAUAUCUUAGGAUCUUAUCAGUUAAUGAACUUGAUCGUGGGUAUGAUCAAGCAUAGAUUUACAUUUCUACCCCUGUUUUUAUCUUUUAUCUUUUGUGUCAUAUAAUUAUAUUUCCCUUUUUUUAUCAGGUUAAUUUGGUGGUUAAUUAUGAUCUUCCUAUAAGACAUGAUCAUCAAUCUCAACCUGACCAUGAAGUGUAGUUGCACUGAAUCGGAAGAGCAGGGUGAUUAUGGGAGAUGUUAAGUAGUUAUAGGGCUUUAGAUGCUUUCCCUUUGGGUAGGAAAUGUUUUUAAGACAUGAUCAUCAUUCUCUACCCCUGCUUUCCCUCUGGUGUUUAUCUCCCAUAAAACCCUAAAAUGUGGAUGUGCUAAAACUGAAGAAAUUAGAAGACACAUACUGGAUUUUAGCAAGUCGGGUAAGUUUAAAAAUAUCUUAAUACGAUAUUGAUUAGAUUACACAACAUGUAAUGUAGAAAAUAUCAUGAAUAUUUAUGAUCAAUAUUCAACUUUUGAAAAUGUAUCCAGUUUGAUGUUUAUCUAUUUGACAUUUUUUUGAUAGAAAAUGAGAAUACCGGAGAAGAUGAACCACAAAUUUACAUUGAAAUGAUCAAUGGAAUUAUCAAAUCCCUUCAGGUAUCAUCUCAUAUCACUUGCUUAUGAAAUUUAUUCAUCUAUACUUGAAAAGAUAUAUUUAUUUUUGUGUUGUUUCCAGGCUAUCCUUGAUGCAGUUCUCAGCACAACAAUUAUGAUUUUAUGAUGUUAGGCUAAACUAUAAAGCAAUCAUUCUUUGUUUUAGGAAACGUUUCAGAGCUUCUUUAGGCAGCUUAAUGAUGAGUUAUUGAAACAAAAUGGUGCCCCUUUAUAGCAAUGUAGUAUUAGGUUAUAUAGAUAGGAAAAACCUCUUAAUAACAACGUACAAUUAGAUCCCCUUAAUAUCAAUGUAUUACAAUUUUAUGACAUGAUGUUAUUGAAUGAAAUUGAUUGUGUAAUGGAUUGUAUUUUUUGUAUAUGGUAUUUUAUUUUCUAUUAUGAGACAUGAAAUGCAAAUUUAAUUUGAAAAUUAGUAAAUCUAUAAAUAAUUUUUAAAAAAAAUAAAAUAAAAAUUAUGAUACGCAAAAAUGUGUGUCAUCUUCAUUUAUGACAUGGCCUUUCUUGACAGUGGCUUUAAUGAUACGCAUUGCGUGUCAUAAAUACGUGUCGUCUAUAGACGACGCGCAAAAGCGCGUCGUCUCUCGUUAUGACAGGGCCUUCCUUGACGCGCAUGCGCGUCGUCUGACCGUUUUACGACUCGCAAUGAGCGUCGUAAAAGGCAUUUUUUCUAGUAGUGUUUGAGACAAGAAAUCAGAACCAAUGUACCUUCCGAGCUCGCUACUUGGCGCGUUAGACCGAGCUCGUUUGGAAUUUUCAUUCCUCAAAGUAUUAUAAAGCCUAAUUGUUUCGUUAUUUUAGUGAAAAGUGGAUCCGGGUGCCCCCAUAUUUUGCAUCACGUCAUGAAUGUUUGUUGAACCAUAUUUUGUUAAAUAAACUUCAAAUAAAUUUUGAAAAACUUUGUUAAAUUUUGAAACUUCCUUUGAUGCAUAAUCAAUGUCAUCAUCCAAUAAACCCAAAUCGUAACAAAUAUUUUCAAUUAAAGUCUCAACCCCCCCAACAUUUAGAGUUGGAUUCAAAGUGGCGGAACAAGUAAUAAUGGGAGCCAUUUCUUGAAAAUAUUUUUUUAACUUUGCUUUCAUCGGUUUCAUCAUAUUAGCAAACAUUGUGCUCCUCAUUUCAAACUCAUUUAUUUUCGCACACAUUAAAAAAAUUUGGUUUAAAACUAAACAACUUGUAGGAUAAUAAACCCCCGAUAAAAAAGUGGUUGUUUUUUUUUUAAAAAAACAUCAAGCAUGUCUGUAACAAGUUUGAUAGUAUCCCAACUUGAUUCCGGAUAAGCCGUAACCUUAUUACGGUCCGAAGGUUGUCAUGUAACAUUUUUAAAGUAUGUUUUUGACGUAAGGCACAUUCAAAAAUUUUGCAAGUGGAGUCCCAUCGGGUAUUAUUUUCCCAAUUCAGACCUAAAAAGAGGGCAUUCGCAUCGACACAAAAUUGCAUAUAAUUAUGAUAUCGAGCGUUACUAGAACUAAAAAUAUCUUUUAGCAUGUCUUUGAAACCAUCUUUUAUAGUUUCAAUGUGAGUUAGUCCAUCUUGCACAACCAAAUUAAUCAUAUGUGCAACACAUCGACUAUGAAAAAUAAACACCAUCACAAAUUGGUUUAUAUUUUAGUUUUAGUUGUCCAACCGCGACGGUGUUGUUUGAAGCAUUAUCAAAAGAUAUAGAAAAAAUCUUUCCUUCAAGUUUAUAAGUUUUGAUCACACAAUCUAAAAUUUUAAAUAAAUUUCUAUCGGUGUGCGGGUACUCAAACAAUUCAAACGUAAUCGUAUGCUUUAUCAUUACCCAAUUAGUUGGAUUAAUCCAAUGAGCGGUAACACAAAGGUACGCAUCCGGUGAACCGUCAGGAGCCGUCCAAACAUCACAAGUUAAAUUCACACCGGUUUCUAAAGAUUGAAAUCCUAAAAUCAAUUCAUUUUUUGCAAGUUUCCACAUUUCAAUACAAUCGCGUCUAAUAGAAGUACGACUCACAUGGCAAUAUCGUGGUUGGAGAGUAUCUUGGAUGAGUGAAGUCAAUCGUUUGUUGUCGAAGUGGUCAAAAGGCAAGCAUUCUUGAAUCACGAACUUCGUCAUCCUAUCCCGAACUUUAGCCAUAUCGUAACUCCACAAUGUUGCAUCAUUCGUCAUUCUUGUUUGAAUAUGUCCCGACCCAAAUUUCACCGUGGGGCAUCUUUUGGUCAUAUGAUUUUUCAAUGUCGAAUUCUCAUCUUCAUUAAAAAAAGCACCACAUUUCUUGCAUUGCGCUUUUUUAUACCGUUCGACAUUACACACAAAUCGUAGUUGCACAAAAUAGCCGGAUUUCUAUUUGUUUCUUUGAUGCUAACAACGGUAAGAGUGUUUGAUGAAUCUCGAACACCAACGGAAGCCGAAUCCAUUGUUUGAAUUAAGAGUGGUUUUUGAACUAAGAGAGGUUUGCGGUUUUUGAACUAAGAGAGGUUUUUUGAGGUUUGGUUAAGGUAAAGUUGAGACCUAAAAAUGUAAUACAUAUAUAUAUACUAUAAGGAAUAGUUAAUAUGGUAAAAAAGAAGCAAAAAUCGAGUCUUGAACAGCCUCAAACGACUAUAUAGCCGUUAGGAAAAGACAAAAAAACGGUAACAUUACAAAAACCGGUUCACCAACGGCACUUUCGAAAUCUGGUUCAAAACUGGUUCAUCACACCUGUUCAGAAUAAACCAGUUCCAAACCGGUCUCCAGGGUAAAACAUGCGAACUGGUAACAUCCGAUGGUUCGGUUCACUAUGGGUUCGGUUCUUAUGUGAACCGGUUCAAGGCUAAACCGGUUUCCGGUUCACCAACCGGUUCGGUUCCUAAACCAGUUUUUUUGCCCACGCCUACCACUAGCUAGUCUAGGUGGGCUUUUAGUACGGGGGUUUUCAUGAGGAAUAGGUUGAAAGGAGUGUUGGCAUCUCACUGCCGUCAUCUGUUACCAUUUCAUAAGGAGUGGUAGCAUUCCUAGCACAUUAGAUUUUUUUUUUUUGAUUUUUUUUUUUGAACUUAAAUAAAUUAUAUUUUUAUAAAACACAAACAAUUCAAUAUUAAUCAAGAAACUAACUACAUUUUAUAGAUAAAUUUACCUUAUUUAAACAAGGAUUAAUAGAAAGGUCAAAUAAAAUUUAAAUGGUUAACGACAUGCUUAAAAUUUUACAAAUAUAUUGAUUUUGUAACGACACAAUUUUCUACUCUAUCAAGGUAAAGAAACAUUUAUGUUAAUAAUAAAGUGACACUUUAAUAUAUAUCUUCAAAUAAUUAUUAAAAAUAAAUAAUACUAUAAAAAAUUACCAAUACUAUCUAGAAACAAAAACCACUCACAGCACGGAAUUUACAAAACAACCAUCCAACUUCCUUAUUUUUUUGAAAGAGCUUUUACGAUCUCCAUUUCCAUUUCCUUUUUUUCUUAAAAUUACAUCUUACAUCUUCCAAUUUGCUAUUAUCAUUUCUUAAGUUUGUGAAAGUAGACUAUUCCACAAAACUACUCCUCCAAUUGUGUGAAACACGAAGCAAAAGCGAGACCUUUGAGCUUUUUCUUAAAAAAUAAUCCUUGUUUGAGAUGGAGACCACACCAUUGAUGGGAGAAAUGAAGGUUCUAGAGAACGAUUGUAAGAGGAAGAUUAUUGUAUCCACAGGCCAAUAUCCAACAAAUCUCUUUCUCUUUCUUCUCGCUAUGGUGUUGACGAGCCAUGGCUGGCGACUUCCUUGGCGCAAGCCAGGGGGCGGCCUUCAGCGCCCUUGGCGACCGGUGGCGACCUCCAUAGCGAGGCCCACUCCCUAAAGCCUUAUAACACACCAUUUAUUGACCAAGUUUACCCAACAAUGCAUCCCAAUUCAUUAGAUUUGUCUUAUCAUUAUACUUUUUAUACAAUUUCAUCAUUUUUCUAUAAUAUAUUAAAACUCUAUGAAAAUUCAAAAGAAUAUACUUUUGAAUUUUCAUAGAAUUUUAUUAUAUUAUAGAAAUAUGGUGAGAAUCCUAGAUGCUUUUAUCUCUCUUUCAGACUUAAAAGCCAGUAUGCGUUCAAUAAGUACGUGGCCAACUCCGGACCUAGCUUUUGCGAACGUGGGACGUUCACUUCGGAUAGCCUCGAAAUGAGUACCUCUUACUUUAAAAAUUUAUAACUUUGGCAUACGAGCUCCGUUUUCGACAUUCACUUUCAUUUAGACUCUGUUUGCUAAUUUUGAUUUUUAUUUUUAAAUUUAUAUUUUUUAACAGGCCGGGACUGGAAAAGCCCGUUAAAAAUUCAUAACUUCUUCAUCCGACGUUCGUUUUCGUAUGACUUUUUACCAUUAAACUACUAUCGACGAGAUUUUUGAUUCUCAUUUACAUUGUGUUGGAUAAAAAUCGCUCGAUCUAUACUUCGAACUACGGGCUGCACAAUGUUAUGCCAAAUCUUAGAAAAUUCAUAACUUCCUCAUACGAAGCUAGAUUUGGAUUUCUUUUUUAUGCACGCUCUUGGUUUAACGUAUACUACGAUUUUCAUUUAGAUUGCUAAGGCUAAAAAACACUUUAUCGUAAACUCACUUUUCACGUCACACAAUGUCAUGUCAGUUUUGUCGCGAAACUUCGAUAUGUCAUAAAUUCUUCGUGAUCAGGGCCGAUCUUGAAAAAUGAAAUAUUCUUGGAGCCCCAGGACGAGCAAGAAAAAAAUGGCCCUUAUCUUUAUUAUAAUUUUGUAAUUUUAAAUAAAAAUAUAUAAUGAAAAAAAUUAGGCCAUGUGCAGCUGCCCACUUUGCCUCCUUCUAAGCCCCCAUUGUUCAUGAUAACUCGGAUUUCAGCGUUCUUUAUAUUUCUGGAGUCCUUGUCACGACCACUACAACUUUCUUCAUAGAUAUCGGGUUUAUAUAACAUUUUAUUUUUGACGCUUAUUUUUAUUCUUAAUUAAUUAUAUCAUUAUAAACAAGUAUAUAAUCACAUAAAAUCACGUAAUUCACAUAAUACUCAAGUAAUUCAUCUUUAUUACAUUAAAAUAGGUUACAAUGGUUGACCUUGACUAUUACAUCAUCAUACUAAUGUGAAACAACCUAAAAUACGACCCAAUUUUUUUUUUGUUAAAAUAAUACUAAAGAUAUCAACCAUCAUAAUAUAUCAUGAAAUCGUACGUCAUAAAUCCCCAAAAAGUUAUAAUAGAUAUGUCAUGACAAAAGAGUUGUAUCAACAUACCAUAGUAUCUAAAAUAAACUCCCAGGACAAAAGUUGAAACUGUGGUGUGUGCAAUGUCAUCAUCCUGAGCUCUUUCCUUUGCUUGCGGAAAUACCUGAAACCAAAACUGAAACUGUAAGCACAAAGCUUAAUGAGCUCCCCCAAACUACCACAUACCAUACAAUAGCAUAUACAACACAUACUAGGCCUUGCCCACUGCAUCGGACCGAAGUCCGGAAAUUGCAUCGGACCGAAGUCCAGAACUAACCAAGGCCUUGCCCUCUGCAUCGGACCGAAGUCCGGAACUACAUCAGACCGAAGUCCGGAAACUAACCAGGGCCUUGCCCUCUGCAUCGGACCGAAGUCCGGAACUAACUGCAUCGGACUGAAGUCCGGAACUGACUGCAUCGGACCGAAGUCCGAAAUUGUCUGAACAUAACAUAUCAUAAACAUCUCAACCAGUAUGAACACAUAAACUGCAUAUCGCAUCAGACCGAAGUACGAAACACAUAACACAAAUACAUGCUUGAAUCACAAAGACAUCAAGCAUUCUAAGUACUGCAACGGACGGAGGUCCGAAACUUCUGCUAACUAAACCGACCGGCAUUGUAGCCGUAGACCCGUUCCUACUGGAAGGAAAACUCACCUCGUAAUGCUGGCUGCUGAGAUGCUAACUCUAAAAGUGACUGACCGCUGCUUCGGAACUGUCCGACUACAAAUCCCAGAAACACUAGAUUAGUUACUUGCAUAUACCCUCAGGGUAAGAUGACUAUUUUGCCCCUGGUCAAAGUCAACUUCUAGUUGACCGGACUCGCCGACUAUGGGCGCAGAACCGCCGAGUCCCUCCUUUACUAACUCUGACUUUAACUCACCGAGUCCCUUUCCCACUCACUGACUCUCUCUGAACUCGUAGGUCGAAGAAAAAAGGGGACUCACGACUCGACUCGUCGAGUCUGAAGAACAACUCGCCGAGUCCUGCCGUGCAUAUUCCAAACAAACGAAUUCAAAACUAUUCCAGAGCAUCUGACUUGAAGAUCUGAGCCCUUGGAACUAUCUAAACACGUGAAGUUUCUAACUUUACGUGCAACUAAGAAGGAAUGAAGCUAUUUCACUCAAACACUACUUUUCUUGGGAAAACUCAUCCGACUCGCCGAGUUGUAUGAACAACUCGUCGAGUCUAAGGUGAUCUUCAUCGGACUCGCAGAGUUGCUCAUCAAACUCGUCGAGUCUACGACUAUCUUCAUAUGACUCGCCAAGUCACACAUGCGACUCGCCAAGUCCAUUCAGUCCCUUUUUCCAUACAGACCUGAUUUGGGCCAUGCAGUGGCUCCAAAUCACAGAUCCAAGAUUCUAGGGCAUGCUUAUCACGUAAAUUUGCAAACUUUACGUGCAUGCAUGGCUUUAAAGGCUUCAAAUGCCAACCCUAAGCUCUUAAUGGGGUUCCAAGCUCAAGAGGGACCUCAAUCACGACCAUAACCGAAACUUUACUCUUCUAGAAUGCAAUGAGAGUCUAGAUCUGAUGUUUCCAUAAAAGGGGAAGUCCAUCUCUCAAGUUUGAACCAUAAGAGGCUCCAAAGAGGGCAUAACAAGCAUAUAUGAGGUUAUAAUGGGGGAAUGCACAAGGUCAUAACUUCAUUACCUGAAUGAAAAACAGAUGUAAGCUAACUCCUAGAUUUUCCUUCCCUUCUAUGGACCUUCCUUCCUUCCCAAAGCUUCCAAGCUAUCACAAAUACCCUCAAACUCAACAAUGGGGCUAGGGUUUACAAGGGAAAUGUUAUGAGAGUGAUAGAGGCGAGGUUGGGGGCGCAUAAGUGUGUUUAAAUAGGGUGAAAACCCUUAAAAUUAGGGCUUCAUCCAGACAGGCGGACUCGCCGAGUCCAACGUAUGGACUAGUCGAGUAGCCAUCUCAAAACGCGUGAUCGUCCCGUCUCUACUUGACGAGUCAGGCUACAGACUCGUCGAGUACCCCUUCAGAAAUGAAAAUACUUUAUUUGAAUUACAUACCAGAAAUGGGGCGUUACAACUCUCCCCCACUUAUCUUAGACUUUGUCCUCGUAGUCUGCUGCUGCUGCUGAAAAUAACUCUGGGUAAUGCUCCCUCAUCUCCUACUCGGACUCCCACGUCCACUCUGAACCCUUUCGGUGCUGCCACAACACCUUCACUAGCUGAACCACCUUGUUCCUCAAGGUCUUCGUCUUCCAAUCUAUGAUCGCAACUGGUCUCUCGAUAUAAUUCAGGCUGCUAUCAACCUGAAUAUCCUCCAAGGGUACAACUGCUGACUUGUCCACCAAACACUUUCGCAACUGGGAAACAUAGAAAGUGUUGUGGAUCUGGCUAAGCUCUACCGGAAGAUCCAACCGAUAAGCAACCCGACCCACCCGGACCAAAACCCUAAAAGGGCCAAUGAACCUGGGACCCAGCUUGCCUCUCUUCCGAAACUUGAUAACACCCUUCCAAGGUGAUACCUUCAGGAGGACCAUAUCGCCCACCUGAAACUCCAAGUCCGAACGCCUCUUGUCGGUGUAACUCUUCUGCCUACUCUGUGCAGUCUGCAGUCUACUACGAACCUGCUGGAUCAACUCUGUGGUCUUGAGCACCAUUUCAGUGCUCCCAAUGACUCACUGACCAACCUCGCCCCAACAAAUCGGAGUCCUGCACUUCCUUCCGUAUAGCAUCUCGAAAGGAGGACGUUUAAUACUAGUGUGGUAACUAUUGUUAUACGGAAAUUCCGCUAGUGGGAGAUACGUAUCCCAACUACCACCGAAGUCUAGAACACAUGCCCGGAGUAUGUCCUCGAGAGUCUGAAUUGUCCUCUCACUCUGCCCGUCCGUCUGGGGGUGGAAGGCGGUGCUAAAAUGAAGACGAGUCCCCAUCUCGUCAUGAAACUGCUUCCAAAAUCUGGAAGUAAAACGGACGUCUCGGUCUGACACUACCGAAACAGGCACUCCGUGCUGUGCUACUACCUCGCGUACAUAGAUGUGGGCUAGCUUCUUAGCCGAUAUGCUCUCCUAGAUCGGUAUAAAAUGUGCGCUCUUGGUCAGCCGAUCCAUUAUGACCCAAAUCGAAUCCACUCCCCGUGCGGUCCUGGGAAGCUUGGUGACAAAAUCCAUGGUAAUGUCCUCCCAUUUCCAUAUGGGAAUAUCUAACGGCAGCAUCUUGCCGUGGGGUCUCUGGUGCUCUGCCUUGACCUUCCUGCAGGUCAGGCAUCUCCCCACAUUCCAGGCGACAUCCUGCUUCAUGCAGGGCCACCAAUAGUCGGGUCGAAGAUCUCUGUAGAUCUUCGUUGCCCCUGGGUGGAUGGAAAAUCAAGAAUUAUGAGCCUCGUCCAUCAAUACCUGCCAUACUCCGCCCCAGUACAGUACCCAAACCCUCCCAUGGAGGGUCAACAAUCGUUAACUGUCAUAAUCAAAGGAAGCUACUCGGUCCACGAUUCUCUCACACUUCUGCCUCUCCUCCUUGAGGCCCUCGACGUGUGCCUCCCUGAUCUGCUCCAACAAGGGAGUAAUCACUGUCAUCCUCAAGCAUACAUCCCUGAUCGGGGCCGCUGCCGUCUUGUGGCUCAGGGCGUCGGCCACUACGUUGGCCUUCCCCGGGUGAUAAAGGAUCUCACAGUCGUAAUCCUUCACCACAUCUAACCACCGACGCUGCCGCAUGUUAAGAUUCGGCUGGUCCAUGAGGUACUUCAGACUCUUGUGAUCCGUGUAGAUGGUGCAACGGACCCCAUAGAGGUAGUGUCUCCAAAUCUUGAGGGCGAACACCACUGCCCCCAACUCCAAAUCAUGCAUCGGAUAGUUAGCCUCGUGAGACUUCAACUGUCUGGAGGCAUAAGCUAUCACAUGCCCCCGUUGCAUCAACACUGCCCCCAUAUCUGCGAUCGAGGCAUCACAGUAGACUACAAAAUCAUCCACUCUCUCCGGCAAGGUCAGAAUCGGUGCCUCGCACAAUCGCUGUCUGAGAGUCUCGAAAGUCGCCUGCUGCUCAGGCCCCUAACGAAACACCACCGACUUCUUGGUUAGUCGGGUGAGUGGAACUGCUAUCUUGGAGAAAUACUGAAUGAAUCUCCUGUAGUACCCUGCCAAACCUAGGAAGCUCUGAAUCUAUGAUGGAGACUUUGGGACCUCCCACUGCAUCAUGGCCUCUAUCUUGGCCGGAUCUACCAGUAUACCCUUCUGGUUGAUGAGGUGCCUAAGGAAUUGCACCUCGCGCAACUAGAACUCGCACUUGGAGAACUUUGCUAAAAGUUUCUCCCUCCUCAAGACCUCUAGCACCUCCCUUAGGUGCUCCUCGUGCUGCUCCUGAGUCUUGGAAUAAACCAAGAUGUCAUCGAUGAAUACAAUCACAGACCGGUCCAACAUCGGCAUGCACACGCGGUUCAUGAGUUCCAUGAACGCGGAUGGAGCGUUGGUGAGCCCAAACGACAUCACCACAAACUCAUAAUGACCAUAACGGGUCCUAAAAGUUGUCUUCUGAACAUCCUCACCCCUGACCCGCAUCUGAUGAUAACCGGAGCGCAAAUCAAUCUUGGAAAACCAAGACGCUCCUUGAAGCUAAUCGAACAAGGCAUCUAUCCUCGGAAGUGGGUAACGGUUAUUCACCGUUACCUUGUUCAACUCCCAGUAGUCUAUGCACAUACGGUGCGACCCAUCCUUCUUCUUCACAAACAAGAUUGGGGCUCCCCAUGGAGAACUAAUUAGUCUAAUGAAACCCUUGUCUAGCAGCUCCUGCAGCUGCGUAUACAACUCCUGCAUUUCUGGAGGAGCCAACCGAUACGGCGCCUUGGCUAUCGGAGCCGCACCAGGAACCAAGUCAAUCUUGAACUCAACCUGUCUCUCUGAAGGUAUCCCAGGUAAUUCCUCUGGGAAUGAGUCCGGGUACUCUCGCACCACUGCUACAUCAUCUACUGUCAUCGUACUCUUAUCCCGGGUAUCCAUCACAUAUGUGACAUAACCUGCUUAACCCUGUUGGAAGUAGCGCCUCACUCUCACUGCUGAACAAAGAAUCGGUCCGCGUUGUGGGCUCUCGCCCUGAAUCACUAACUCUCCCCCGUUGGGAGUGCGAACCCUCACUAGCUGCAAUUCGCAAUCAAUCAUCGCCCCAUUGGGGCUCAACCAAUCCAUGCUUACUAUGGCCUUGUUCCCUCGCAAAGGAAUAGGGACCAUGUCCACCGAAAACUGCUCAUCGAAUAACUGCAGUGAGCAUGCCUUAUGCACCCUCGUGACCCUGACGGUCCUAUCAUCGGCUAUCUCCACCUCGAGUGGACAAUCCAGCUCCCUAGGAUCUCUGCUAAACCUCUUGCUAAGUGCAAGAGAGACAAACGAUCGGGUAGCCCCUGAAUCAAAUGACACUGUAGCUGAAAUGUCGUUCACUAAGAACGACCCUAUACAUAAACAUAUAACAUUAGAAACAAUCAAUAAUCAAUGCAUAGAUAAAAGGAAAAUACAUACCCGUCACCACGUCAGGAGUCGCUCGCGCCUCCUCUGCUGUUAUCUGAAAAGCUCUACUCUUCGCCACUGGCACCUCGGCCCGCCCCUGACGACCGUUCGUAAUCCUCAAUGUAGCAGGGGCAGGUGCCGACACCUUCCCUGCUGCUGCUAAGCUUGGGCACUGGGACUUUUUAUGUCCCCUCUGAUUGCAAUGGAAGCAAAUCAGAUCUGAUGCUGCGGUAGCUGUGGUAGAAACUGUACAAUCUCUGCUCAUAUGCCUAGUCCAACCGUACUUGUAGCAGCCGGAACUCCCUGCCUUGCACGCCCCAUCGUGUAAUCUCCCACACUUGCCACACCGACUGUGGCUCUGCUGACCUCUGGACCUAUGAUCCGAAACCUUGGGCUUCUUGCCCAAACUCCCUGUACCCGAAGCCGCCUCCGCCUUCCUCUUAUUCUCCAUCUCAAGAUCAAUCUCUCUCUCUCUCUCUCUCUCUCUCGCCCUUGCAAUCAUAUCAUCCAGCAUCUUACAGCUGGAUCGGCUCACAAACUGGCGGAUAUCACUCCGCAGCGUCUCAUGAUAACGGGCCUUCUUCAUUUCCUCGUCAGCUGCGUACUGAGGAACAAGAAGAGCCCUCUCCCUGAACUUGGCGGUAAUCUCCGCCACUGUCUCUAUAGUCUGAGUAAGGUCUUGAAACUCUCUAGCUAACUGUUGCACCUCAAUAGUCGGUGCGAACUCGGCUCUGAACCUGGUGGUAAAAUCAGCCUAAGUCAUAGUAUCAAGUGCUAUGUCAUCCCUGAUACCAUGCCCAACCUCCUCCCACCAGUCACAUGCCCUAUCCUUCAGGAGACAGGAUGCUAAUCUGACCUUGUCCCCUUCGGGACAUCUGCUAGUGCGGAACACGUUGGCAACAUCUGCCAACCACCUAGUGCUCGCAAUGAGGUCCCGCACCCCAUGAUAGCCUGGAGCUCCACAAGCCCGAAACUCCCUGAAGGUGAGUGUGCGCGACCCCAUCAUGGCCGCCAUCUCAGCACGAAAUGUGCUCAACUUCUCAUCCAUCAACUCCAAGAUACCCUCCUUGAUCGAACCGAAGAUCACAGGACUCUGCUCAAGUAUGAUACGGGUAACCUCUGAAGUGAAAAACUCCCUAGUUUGCUCAUCCAACUGCUCGGCCCCCCAGCCUGAUCCUGAUCCUUCCUCGGCACCUGAGCUGCCGACUGCUGGCCUAGGGCGUAAAACCACCAUUCUGAAAACACAUCAUGAUAAACGUCAAAAACACUGAUAUAUCUCUAGGGAUCGCUACUACUAUAGGUUUCCUGGUCUCGCCUCUGCCUUCCUUGAUUCAAGUACAAAUCCUCAACAAAAACCAGUCCUCAACUGCUGAAGGCCUCCUUGUAAUGCCAAUUAGUCAUCACCUGAAUAUCAUCACAUGUGACGAGACUCAGAUAAUCCUUCGAGUAAAAGACUCAUUCCUACAACGGAUGGACUCAAACAAGAGCUGCGCAGUAGAGCCAAAUCCAGCACUCUGAGAUUAUUCAACCCUGAUCUCAGGCGAUGUGUCGUAUUCACCUAAUGGUUAACUCUCAUUACCCGGAGUCUCAUAAAGCACAAAGCAAGCAGCAUUCGGACACAGGAAACUAAUCAAGCCACUCUAUUCUCAUAACAAGAAAUUGUACUAGCAUACAAUGUUAAGCUCGUACUGUCAGGCAUAACCUAAACAGGCUAUCCUACUGCUGUCUACUCAAUACUAGCAUGCAGUUCUCAUAAAGCUGAAGCACAUAUAGCAUGCACAUAAGGCAUCCUGCUAGAUCCUUAGUCCUAUUCUAGCAUGCUGUUCUACUGAAACUAAAACUGAUAAUCAUAACAUAAACUUGUAUGGGUAAUUUAGGGGUACUUACUUGAGCUCGACUGAUCGCAUGCACCACACCCUUUUCUCGUUUUCAAAACUCUUUUCUUUUUAAGUCUCUUUCUCAAAAGUUCUUUUGAACACAUUUUUCUUUCGAAAAUCUUUUUUCUAUUUCCUCAGUUUGAGUUCAGUUACACCCGUAAGUGUGUCUGAAUCCCUCAAACCAAGGCUCAGAUACCAACUUGAAAUAACCCAAAAUACAACCCAAUUUUUUUUUGUUAAAAAAAUACUAAAGAUAUCAACCAUCAUAAUAUAUCAUGAAAUCGUACGUCAUAAAUCCCCAAAAAGUUAUAAUAGAUGUGUCAUGACAAAAGAGUUGUAUCAACAUAACAUAGUAUCUAAAAUAAACUCCCAUGACAAAAGCUGAAACUGUGGUGUGUGCAAUGCCGUCAUCCCGAGCUCUUCCCUUUGCUUGCGGAAGUACCUGAAACCAAAACUGAAACUGUAAGCACAAAGCUUAGUGAGCUCCCCCAAACUACCACAUACCAUACAAUCAUAUAAAACACAUAUUGGGCCUUGCCCACUGCAUCGGACCGAAGUCUAGAAAAUGCAUCGGACCGAAGUCCGGAACUAACCAGGGCCUUGCCCUCUGCAUCGGACCAAAGUCCAGAACUGCAUCGGACCGAAGUCUGGAAACUAACCAGGGCCUCGCCCUCUGCAUCGGACCGAAGUUCGGAACUAACUGCAUCCAACCGAAGUCCGGAAUUGUCUGAACAUAACAUAUCAUAAACAUCUCAACUAGCAUGAACACAUAAACUGCAUACCGCAUCGGACCGAAGUCCGAAACACAUAACACAAAUACAUGCUUGAAUCACAAAGACAUCAAGCAUUCUAACUACUGCAACGGACAGAGGUCCGGAACUUCUGCUAACUAAACGGGCCGGCAUUGUGGCCGUAGACCCGUUCCUACUGGAAGGAAAACUCACCUCGUAAUGUUGGCUGCUGAGAUGCAAACUCUAAAAGUGGCUGACCGCUGCUCCGGAACUGUCCGACUACAAAUCCCAGAAACACUAGAUUAGUUACUUGCAUAUACCCUCAGGGUAAGAUGACUAUUUUGCCCCCGGUCAAAGUCAACUUCUAGUUGACCGGACUCACCGAGUCAGGGCGCAGACUCGCCGAGUCCCUCCUUUACUAACUCUGACUUUAAUUCACAGAGUCCCUUUCCCACUCACUGACUCUCUCUGAACUCGUAGGUCGAAGAAAAAAGGGGACUCACGACUCGACUCGUCGAGUCUGAAGAACAACUCGCCGAGUCCUGCCGUGCAUAUUCCAAACAAACGAAUUCAAAACUAUUCCAGAGCAUCUGACUUGAAGAUCUGAGCCCUUGGAACUAUCUAAACACGUGAAGUUUCUAACUUUACGUGCAACUAAGAAGGAAUGAAGCUAUUUCACUCAAACACUACUUUUCUUGGGAAAACUCAUCCGACUCGCCGAGUUGUAUGAACAACUCGUCGAGUCUAAGGCGAUCUUCAUCAGACUCGCCGAGUUGCUCAUCCAACUCGUCAAGUCUACGGCUAUCUUCAUAUGACUCUCUGAGUCACGCAUGCGACUCGCCGAGUCCAUUUAGUCCCUUUUUCCAUACAGACCUGAUUUGGGCCAUGCAUUGGCUCCAAAUCACAGAUCUAAGCUUCUAGGGCAUUCUUAUCACGUAAAUUUGCAAACUUUACGUGCAUGCAUGGCUUUAAAGGCUUCAAAUGCUAACCCUAAGCUCUUAAUGGGGCUCCAAGCUCAAGAGAGACCUCAAUCAUGACCAUAACAGAAACUUUACUCUUCUAGAAUGCAAUAAGAGUCCAGAUCUAAUGUUUCCAUAAAAAGGGGAAGUCCAUCUCUCAAGUUUGAACCAUAAGAGGCUCCAAAGAGGGCAUAACAAGCAUAAAGGAGGUUAUAAUGGGGGAAUGCACAAGUUCAUAACUUCAUUACCUGAAUGAAAAAUAGAUGUAAGCUAACUCCUGGAUCUUCCUUCCCUUUUAUGGACCUUCCUUCCUUCCCAAUGCUUCCAUGCUAUCACAAAUACCCUCAAACUCAACAAUGGGGCUAGGGUUUACAGGGGAAAUGUUCUGAGAGUGAUAGAGGCGAGGUUGGGGGCGCAUAAGUGUGUUUAAAUAGGGUGCAAACCCUUAAAAUUAGGGCUUCAUCCAGACAGGCGGACUUGCCGAGUCCAGCGUAUGGACUCGUCGAGUAGCCAGCUCAAAACGUGUGAUUGUCUCGUCUCUACUCGACGAUUCGGGCUACAGACUCAUCGAGUACCCCUUAAUAAAUGAAAAUACUUUAUUUGAAUUACAUACCAAAAAUGGGGCAUUACAUAAUGCUUAGCCCAGAAACACGGACGUUACACUUCUCUCCUCCUUAGGAUGAUGCCAUCCCCAGAAUCAUACAUCAACAAACUAAUGCGGAUAGCGACUCAUCAUGUCACUCUCCAUUUCCUAGGUGAGAUUUGACUCAUUCGUAUGUUUCCGUCGCACAAGUAGUAAGUCAACCAUCUUGUGACGCAACUUCUUCGUCUUAUGGUCAACAAUCGCCUCCGGUUCUUCAACUAGCCUCUUAUUUUCAUCCAUCCUUAGCUCAUAAAUUAGAAUUAUGUCAGGAACUUCUCCCAUGAAUUUCCUCAAAUAACUCACAUGGAAAGUGUUAUGAAUAAUGUCUAGUUCUUCUGGUAGUUCUAGCUUGUAGGCUUGGUUCCCAAUCCUCUGAAGAACUUUGAACGGUCCAAUGAAUCUUGGACUUAACUUCCCUUUUUCCCGAAUCUUAUAAGUUCCUUGUAGCACCUGGUUCCUGGUAUGUAAUUUAUUUAAAUAUUUUGCAUUUUUGGCCUUGGACUCGGCAAGUUGAAGGACCAACUUGCCGAGUAGAAGCGGGAUGGGACGUGGGAUUUAAGUGAUGGACACGUCGAGUCGGGUCCCGGACUCGACGAGUAGGCUCUGACUGAAAAACCCUAAUCCGAGGGUUUGCACCCUAUUUAAUCAUCUCAUUUUCCCCUAAUGCUCCCAGAAACCCUCCCUAGUAAACCCUAAGUGUUUUGGUGCAAGAUCUAAGGCUUUUGAGUGAUUUUUGUGGGUUUUGACCUCAAGGAAUAAGGAAGAGCAUAGAAGGAUCAAGAGGAGACUGAAGGAUUAGAGUUUGGUGCAUCAUUUUCAGUCCUUGAAAGGUAUAAAUUAUGUACCUUGCUUGUUCAUUUGUUAGAUCCUUUUUUGGGGAAGAUUUAGGGCUUCUUAAGUCAUAUGAGGUGGCCAAACAUGGUUGGGGGUCAAGACUUCGGAUCUAAGUCUUGGAAGGAGUCCCAAAGCAGAUUUGGGUUGCUUUUGCACCCAAGGAAGGUCCCAUGCAACAUAAGAGCCAUUUUAGAGCCUUUUUGGGUCAAAAGUCCCAUGCAUGCACGUAAAGUUCGAAACUUUACGUUCUAGAUCGAGCUUAGGGCUUGGAUCUAUCUUUUUGUCAAAGGUUGUACAUCAGAAAUCGAGGAUUUAGGGUGUGGAUGUUAUCGAAUCGGCGAGUCAGUUCUUGGGACACGACGAGUCCAAAGCAUAGGGUCUGUUAUCUGUUGAGGGUCAAAAGAACCCAGUUGGGUGUUAGAAGGGUUGUAGAAGGUCCGAGAGAGUGACCCAACGUGUUGGACUUAGCCUUAGACUUGGAAUUCAUGGGACUCGUCGAGUGCUAGAACAGACUCGGCGAGUCCAAGGCAAUCUCCUUAUCGAUGAAGAUGAACUCGACGAGUUGUUCAUACAACUCGGCGAGUCGGGGUCAGGACUUGUUCAUCAGAUGAAGGUGAACUCGACAAGUGUUCAUCCGACUCGGCGAGUCGGAUGAAGGUUCAUUGAUGUUCGUAAAGAAAGGGAACUCGUCGACUUGUUGCCAAACUCGACGAGACGAGUCGUGGAUAAGGACGAGUAAAGGAAAGGGACUCGACGAGUUNAACUCGGGGAGUCGGGUCAACUGGAAGUUGACUUUGACUUGGACUUGGUUGGGGGUAAAAUAGUCAUUUUACCCCAAGAGUAGAUAUUAGUUUUCUGACUGAGUAUUUUGUGGGGAUUAUAGCCGGAGGAUUUCCGAAGCAACAGCAGGCAGAGGUUUCCUGCACAUAUUAUCAGCAGCUACUUGUUCGAGGUGGGUUGCCUACCAGUAGCGGUGGGUCUACGACCACAAUGUCGGCCCACCAAUAGGAGUUGUAUAAUUAUAUGAUUGUCUUUGUGAUAUCAUCUAGGUUGCUUCUACCUGAUAUGUUAUAUGCUGGCAUGAUAUGUUAUAUGUGAUAGUAGUAGAGUUCGGUUGUUAGGACCGAAGGGUAGGUCAAACACCCCAGAUAUGUAUGACAGUAUGUGAUGAUAUGUUUAUAUGCCGACAUGACAUGUUAUAUGGGAUAGUGGUAGUAGGAGGGGAACAGUCCCCAAGUUCGGUUGUUAGAACCGAAGGGUAGUUCAGACACCCCAGAUAUGUCUGAUAGUAUGUUUAUGUUAUGAUAUAUGUGAUAGUAGUGGUACGUGUGGAAUAGUCCCCGAGGGUCGGUCUUUAGGACUGACGGGUAGGUCAGCACCCCAAAAAGACUUGACAGGGGUAGGACGACACCCCAGAAUGGCCGCACGGGUAGGUCGGCACCCCAGAAUGGCCGUACCGGGUAGGCCGGGCACCCUAGAAUUGCCUGGCAGUAUGUAUGCUAUGUGAUUGUAUGGUAUGUGGUACGAUGGGGGAACUUACUAAGCUUCCUGCUUACAGUUUACAGUUUUGGUUUCAGGUACCUCUUCAACAAAGGGGAAGGAGCUGGCGCGGUAGCGGCACAUCAUACACACAUGUUGGUUUCCGCACUAGUGUUUCUUGGGUCGUUACAAGUUGGUAUCAAAGCCCUGAUCUGAGGGAUUCGGACACACCUUGGGGGUGUCUGGACUCAAAUCGAGGGAUUAAAAGACUUUUACAAGAAAAAUGGUUUCUUAAAAGCUAAGAUAAAAGAGUUUUGGGAAAGAACAAAGUGUGUGAUGUGCGCGACCGGCCGAGCUCAAGUAAGUAUUCCCCAAAGUACCCAUACAAGUUUAUGUUAUGUUUAUCAGUUUCAGUAGAAUAGCAUGCUAGAAUAGGACUGAAGAUCUAGGAAUGAUGGCUUAUGUGUCUGCUUUAUGUGCUCCAGCUUAUGAGAAUUGCAUGCUAGUAUUAAGUAGAAAAUAAUAGGAUAGUCUGUUUAGGUUAUGCCUGGUAUUAUGAGCUCAGCAUUGUAUGAUGGUACAACUUCUCGUUAGGAGAAUAGAGUUGUUUGAGUAGUUUCCUGUGUCCGAAUGAUGCUUGCUCAGUGCUUGUAGGACUCUGAAUGAUGGCCGUUAGCCAUUAGGUGAGUACGUCGCGUCGCAUGUCAUUAGGAUUGAAUAAUCUCAGAGUGCUGGAUUUGGCCCUAUUGCGCGGCUCUCGUUUGAGUCUAACCGUUGUAGGGACGAGUCUUUUACUUGAAGGAUUAUCUGAGCCUUGUUACAUGUGAUGGUAUUUAGGUGAUGGCUAAUUGAUAUCACAAGGAGGCCUUCAACAGCCGAGGACCGGUUUGGGUAGAGUCAGAGAUUUUCCCUAGGGUAAGCCUACGAUGAGAGUAGCAGAGAUCAGCAGUGGAAAAAGGGACUUGGUGGAGUCGAGGCCGUCCUUGAGGAAAGUACGGAUAGAUAUGGAAGGUAGUAUGGGCCCGUACUACAGAAAGCAGAGGAUCCGUACUCGAAUUAAGGAAGGCUAAGGCAAGACCAAGGAACUUGUGAUGGGUGUGAUCCCUAUAGAUGUACUAGUAUCACUGACGGAUGUCAUGAUGUAUUGCGGAAUGGUGGUACUAAGGCCAAGGCCAGCAGUGGGUAGCUCAGGAGAGGGAUCGGGUUCGGGUUCAGGCUCCGAACCAGUGGACGAGAGGCUACGCGAGUUCAUCGCGUCUAAGAUCACUAUAGGCAUCCUUGAUGCGACCCCGAUCAUCUUUGGGUCGAUCAAGGAAGGGAUUGUUGAGCUGAUGGAGGAUCGCCUUAGGGCGCUCAGGAGUGACAUGGCGACCAGCCAGUCAGGAUCCCGCAUACUAUCCUUUAAGGACUUCAGGGGCAGUGGCGCGCCGGACUUCCACGGGGAAAAGGACCCCAUUUCUGCUAGACGAUGGAUUGCGGACAUGGAGUCUGCACAGCUGACAAGCUUCUGCCCCGAGGGGCCGAAGGUGAGAUAUGCAGCAGGGUGUUUGAGAGACAGAGCUAGAGAUUAGUGGGAGUCUGUUGUUGACUCCUUGGGAGCCUCGGCUGUUGAGGCUAUGACCUGGUUAGACUUUGUGACCAGAUUCAGGGCGGAGUUUGCGCCAGCUGUAGAGCUUCAGCAGCUGGCCAGAGAGUUUUUGGAUAUGAGACAGACUACGGAGACUGUGGCGGAGAUCACCGCCAACUUCUGGGAGAGGGCAUUGCUUGUGCCCCAGUAUGCGGGAGAUGAGGACAUGAGGAUGACCCGCUAUCAUGACAUGCAGCGAGCCGAAAUUCGGGAGCAUGUUAGUUUUUCAGCUUGCCCUACCCUAGAUUCCAUGAUUUCCAGAUCAAGGGAGAGGGAGAUCGAUCUAGAACAUGUCCAGAAGAGGAAGGUAGAGGAGGGGCAGACGAUUGGGGCUUCGGAGAAGAAGCCUAAGGGAUCAGAUGGUAGGCCGAAAGGCCAGUCAGGACCAGGCCACUGCAGGAAAUGCGGCAGGCCACAUGAGGGGGCGUGUAGAUUGGGAUUGUCGGGCUGCUACAAGUUCGACAAGACGGGGCAAUUCAGCAGAGAUUGUACCGCCCCUACACCAGUUAUUCAGACGUCUGAGUUGCUGUGUUUUCAAUGCAACCAGAGGGGCCACAAGAAAGACAACUGCCCCCAGUUAACAGCAGCAACAGUGCCAGUGAAGGCGCCAGGUCUAGCGACCCUGCGAAUUACUGAUGACUGGAAGGCCAAGGCUGAGGCUCCAGUGGUGAGGAGUCGGGCCUUCCAGUUGACUACCGAGGAGGCACGCGCUGCACCCGAUGUGGUAACAGGUAUGACUUCUUGUUUAUGCUUUUAUGAUAUGCUGCUGUGAUUUUGAUAUGUUAUGUAUGUGCUCUGUUUAGGAUCGUUCCAUGUGAACGGUAUCCCAGUUCAAGUAUUGUUUGAUUCGGGUGCUACCCGAUCAUUUGUCUCUCUUGCGCUUAGCAAGAAGUUUCCUGAGUCUUCGGGCAUGUUGGAUUGCCCUUUAGAGGUUGAGAUUGUAGACGACAGGUCGGUACGAGCAUUAGAGGUCUUCCGAGAUUGUGUUUUGAGGUUGUUCGAGGAGCGUUACAUGGUAGACUUGAUUCCCAUACCCUUGCGGGGGAACAAGGUUAUUAUCGACAUGGAUUGGUGGAGCCCCAAUAGGGCGGUGAUAGAUUGCGCACAAUAGUUGGUGCGAGUCAGGACCCCAGGAGGGGGAGAUUUAGUGAUUUAGGGUGAGAGCCACAGCGAGGGCCAACCUUAUGUUCGGCAACGAGGACAAGGCGUUACCUUCAGCAGGGUUGCGCCGGAUAUGUCGCUUAUGUCAUGGACACCCGGGAGGAGGGAAAGGCGACAGUGGGCAAUGUGCCUGUGGUACGAGAGUUUGCGGACGUAUUCCCCGAGGAGUUGCCUGGGAUACCUCUGGAACGAUAGGUGGAGUUUAGGAUCGACCUAGUCCUUGGUGCGGCUCCGAUAGCCAAGGCACCGUAUCGGUUGGCUCCUCUUGAGAUGCAGGAGUUGUCUACACAGCCGCAGAAAGUAUUAGACAAGUGAUUCAUUAGACCUAGUAGUUCUCCCUGGGGAGCCCCGAUUCUGUUUGUGAAGAAGAAGGACGGGUCGCAUCGGAUGUGUAUAGAUUAUCGGGAGCUGAAUAAGUUAACGGUGAAGAACCGUUACCCACUCCCGAGGAUUGAUGACCUCUUUGACCAGCUACAGGGAGCAUCUUGGUUCUCCAAGAUUGAUCUGCGUUCAGGGUAUCAUAAGAUGAGGGUCAGAGAGGGGGAUGUACAGAAGAUAGCGUUCCGGACGCGCUAUGGCCAAUAUGAGUUCGUGGUGAUGCCUUUCGGGCUCACCAAUGCUCUUGCCGCAUUCAUGGAUCUCAUGAACCACGUGUGCAGACCAAUGUUGGAUCGGUCCGUGAUAGUUUUCAUCGAUGAUAUCUUGGUUUACUCCAAGACACAGGAGGAGCACGAGGAGUAUCUGCAAGAGGUUCUAGAGACUUUGAGAAGGGAGAACUUGUAUGUUAAGUUCUCCAAGUGUGAGUUCUGGUUGCGCGAGGUGCAAUUUCUCAGACACCUUGUCAACCAGAACGGGAUAUCGGUGGACUCGGCCAAAGUGGAGGCCGUGAUGAGAUGGGAGGUUCCAAGGUCUCCAUCCGAGAUUCAGAGUUUCCUAGGAUUAGUCGGCUACUAUCGGAGAUUCAUCCAUGAUUUCUCCAAGAUAGUCAUACCCCUGACCAGGCUAACGAGGAAAGUCGUGGUUUUUCGUUGGGGGCCUGAGCAGCAGGCCGCAUUCGAGACAUUGAGACAGAGAUUGUGUGAGGCACCAAUCUUAGCCCUAUCGGAGGGCAUAGAGAAUUUUGUUGUGUACUAUGACACGCCCAUUUCAGGUUUGGGCGCGGUACUGAUGCAGAGAGGGCAUGUCAUUGCCUACGCUUCGAGGCAGCUGAAGCUUCACGAGGCGAACUACCCGACGCAUGAUUUGGAGCUGGGGGCUGUUGUGUUCGCCCUUAAGAUUUGGCGUCAUUACCUCAAUAGGGUUCGCUAUACUAUCUACAUAAACCACAAGAGUUUGAUGUACCUCAUGGAUCAGCCGAAUCUAAACAUGAGGCAGCGUCGGUGGUUAGACGUGGUGAAGGAUUACGAUUACGAAAUCCUUUACCACCCGGGGAAGGCCAAUGUGGUGGCCGACGCACUUAGCCGCAAGGCAGCGCCGAUCAGGGAUAUUUGUCUGAGGAUGAUAGUGGUGACCCCGCUGUUGGAGCGGAUUCGGGAGGCCCAACGGGAGGCCAUGAAGGAGGAACAUCGGAAGAGCGAGCGGAUUGUGGGGCAAGUUUCCUCCUUCGAUUAUGAUAGCCGAGAGCUGUUGACACUACACCGUAGGGUGUGGGUGCCGUACCACGGGGGUGUACGCCAGGUUCUGAUGAAGGAGGCGCACAAAUCUCGAUUCUCCAUUCAUCCCGGGGCGACGAAGAUGUACAAGGACCUUCUUUUGGACUAUUGGUGGCCCUGCAUGAAGCUGGAUGUAGCAUGGUAUGUGGAGUGGUGCUUGACCUGUAGGAAGGUCAAGGCCAAGCACCAGAGGCCACAUGGAAAGAUGCAGCCGUUGGAUAUCCUGCUGUGGAAAUGGGAAGACAUUACGAUGGAUUUUAUCAUAAAGCUUCCUAGGAUCGCUCGGGGAGUGGAUUCGAUAUGGGUCAUCGUCGAUCGAUUAACCAAAGAGCGCCCAUUUUAUUCCGAUCCAGGAGGGAAUUUUGGCCGAAAAGUUGGCCAACAUCUAUAUCAGGGAGGUGGUGGUGCGGCACAGGGUGCCGGUAUCGGUGAUUUCAGACAGGGACGUGCGGUUCACUUCCAGGUUUUGGAGGAAGUUUCAUGACGAGCUGGGUACUCGUCUGUAUUUUAGCACCGCCUUUCACCCACAGACGGAUGGUCAGAGCGAUCGGACCAUCUAGACAUUAGAGGAUAUGCUGCGAGCAUGUGUUUUAGACUUCGGAGGUAGCUGGGAUACCUACCUUCUGUUGGCGGAAUUCUCGUAUAAUAAUAGCUAUCAUACGAGUAUUAACCGUCCUCCCUUCAAGAUGUUAUACGGGAGGAAGUGCAGAACCCCAAUAUGUUCGGGUGAGGUUGGCCAGAGGGUCAUGAGGAGCAUCGAGGUGGUGCUCAAGAUGACAGAGAGGAUUCAGCAGGUCCGGAGCAGACUUCAGACUGCUCAGAGUCGGCAUAAAAGUAAUCUUGAUAAGCGCCGAUCAGACCUGGAGUUCCAGCUCAAGGAUAUGGUUCUCCUAAAGCUGUCGCCAUGGAAGGGCGUCAUCCGAUUUAGGAAACAGGACAAGUUGGGCGCCACGUACAUUGGACCGUUCAGAUUCUUAGCCCGGGUGGGCAAGGUAGCAUACAGGUUGGAUCUGCCAGCCGAACUCAGCCAGAUCCACAACACUUUCCACGUCUCCCAGCUGCAGAAGUUUCUGGUGGACGACUCAGCAGCGGUACCCUUAAAAGAUAUUCAGGUCGAUGACAGCUUGAAUUACAUUGAGCGGCCAGUAGCGAUCCUCAACCGGAAGUCGAAGGAACUGAGGAACAAGAGGGUUGAACUAGUGAAGGUGCAAUGGCAACAUCGGAAGGGCUCAGAAUGGACUUGGGAGCCAGGGGAGGAGAUGAUCGAGCAUUACCCAGAGUUGUUCCAGGAACGAACAGCAGACUUCGAGGACGAAGUCUAAAAUAAGUGGGGGAGAUUUGUAGCACCUGGUUCCUGGUAUGUAAUUUAUUUAAAUAUUUUGCAUUUUUGGCCUUGGACUCGGCGAGUUCAAGGACCAACUCACCAAGUAGAAGCGGGAUGGGACGCGAGAUUUAAGUUAUGGACUCAUCGAGUCAGGUCCUGGACUCGACGAGUAGGCUCUGACUGGACAAAAACCCUAAUCUGAGGGUUUGCACCCUAUUUAAUCAUCUCAUUCAGCCACCACUCUACCCUAAUGCUCCCAGAAACCCUCCCUAGUAAACCCUAAGUGUUUUGGUGCAAGAUCUAAGGCUUUUUGAGUGAUUUUUGUGGGUUUUGACCUCAAGGAAGAAGGAAGAGCAUAGAAGGAUCAAGAGGAGACUGAACAAUUCGAGUUUGGUGCAUCAUUUUCUGUCCUUGAAAGGUAUAAAGUCUGUACCUUGCUUGUUCAUUUGUUAGAUCCCUUUUUGGGGAAGAUUUAGGGUUUUUUAAGUCAUAUGAGGUGGCCAACCAUGAUUGCAAACAUGGUUGGGGGUCAAGACUUCGGAUCUAAGUCUUGGAAGGAGUCCCAAAGCAUAUUUGGGUUGCUUUUGCACCCAAGGAAGGUCCCAUGCAACAUAAGAGCCAUUUAGAGCCUUUUUGGGUCAAAAGUCCCAUGCAUGCACAUAAAGUUCGAAACUUUAUGUGCUAGAUCGAGCUUAGGGCUUGGAUCUAUCUUUUUGUCAAUGGUUGUACAUCAGAAAUCAAGGAUUUAGGGUGUGGACGUUAUCGACUCGGCGAUUCCGUUCUUGGGACUCGACAAUUCCAAGGCAUAGAGUCCGUUAUCUGUUGAGGGUCAAAAGAACCCAGUUGGGUGUUAGAAGGGUUGUAGAAGGUCCGAGGGAGUAACCCAACGUGUUGGACUUAGCCUUAGACUCGGAAUUCAUGGGACUCGUCGAGUGCUAGAAUAGACUCGGCGAGUCCAAUGCAAUCUCCUUAUGGAUGAAGAUGAACUCGACGAGUUGUUUAUACAACUCGACGAGUCGGGGUCAGGACUUGUUCAUCAGAUGAAGGUGAACUCGACAAGUGUUCAUCCAACUUGGCAAGUCGGAUGAAAGUUCAUUGAUGUUCGUAAAGAAGGGGAACUCGUCGACUCGUUGCCAAACUCGACGAGUCGAGUCGUGGAUAAGGACGAGUAAAGGAAAGGGACUCGACAAGUAGAUGACCCAACUCGGUGAGUUGGGUCAACUGGAAGUUGACUUUGACUUGGACUUGGUUGGGGGUAAAAUAGUCAUUUUACCUCAAGAGUAGAUAUCAGUUUCUGACUGAGUGUUUUGUGGGGAUUAUAGCCGGAGGAUUUCCGGUGCAGCAGCAGGCAGAGGUUUUCCAAACAGAUUAUUAGCAACUACUUGUUCGAGGUGAGUUACCUACCAAUAGCGGUGGGUCUACGGCCACAAUGUCGGCCCACCAAUAGGCACUACUAGAAAAAAGGCGUUUUACGAUGCUCAUUGCGCGUCGUAAAACGCUCAGACAACGCGAAAAUGCGUGUCAAGGAAGGCCCUGUCAUAACGAGAGACGACACGCAUUUACGACACGCAUUUACGACGCUCAUUUACGACACGCAAUGCGUAUCAAGGAAGGCCAUGUCAUAAAGGAUGACGACACGCAUUUGAGUGUCGUAACCUUACGACACGCGUUUAGGACAUGCAUUGUGUAUCAUUAAAGCCCCUGUCAUAAAUGAAGAUGACACGCAUUUGCGUGUCAUAAUCUUCAGCAACCAUUUACGAUAUGCAUUUACGACACGUCUUUACGAUACACAUUUACGCAAAAUACAAAAAUAUGGAAAUAAAUAUAUAACAAAACAAUCAAUUUCAUUCAUUAACAUCAUGUCAAAAAAUUGUAAUACAUAGCGGAAGUAUUUGUUGAGAGCCCAAAAAGUUACAUAAAUCAAUGAAAGUAAAAUUCAUAACUUUUCUAGUUUUCAUAAUCCUAACAAUAGCUGCAUCAACCUGCGAUAUAUUUAUAAAAAAAAUGUGAUUAUAAAUUUAUAAUUACAAAAAAAAAUAAAGCAAAAAAAAAUUGGACCUGAUAUUGACGAUCUUGGGAAACUCUCUCUGUGGUGCUUGCGUUUUCUUCCACAGUUUCCUUCAGCUGGAUAUCAUUCACAUGUACAUGGAAUGGAAUGGAAUAAUGAAAUAAGCAAAGGAAUGGAAUGAGUCAUUCCAUUCCAAUUUCAUAUGAACUUCACAUUAUAAAAAAUUAAUUGAUCUCACCUUUAUACGAUAAAGAGGAGCAGUAAAUACAUCAUUAAACAUGAAGGAAUCAUUGUCAUCCACAUCAGUUUGAACCUAUUCUUUUGUCUCCUUUUCUUCUUUCUCUUUCCCUUGUUCUUUUUUGUCUUGUAUCUUUUCAAGUGGUUGGUACAACAAUAGAGGUAACGGGACAUGUGCCAGUAUUGGGUCCUGAAGAUCUUGUUGCUUUUGUGCUAAGUGUUUUGUGAUUGAGAAGCAAAUGGUCACAAAUUGCAUAUGGGUUCUGGACAUGCAAAUAAACUUAACUAUCGAUCACAUAACAAAAGCAAAUGAAAGUAUGAUGUUAUAAUAAACAAUUCAAAUGCUAAUACCUUUGACAUGUUUGUAUCUACAACAUUUUGGGAGCUUUCGAUGCUUCGAAGAAUUAAAAGUAUUGAAAUAACCUCUUCCUUCUUUAGACUAUUAUGAGGCUUCCCAUCUUCACAAUCACCACCAAUUGCCAACAUAGAAAGAAAUAAAUACAAUUUUCCGGAAAAUAAUAAAAAUUCAUAUAUAUUUUUUUCAUUCAAAGAAUCAAAAUCAACAGGUAUAGUAUGCAUUCAAUUUAUAUUUCAGGAAAAAAAAACUAAUAGUAUACCUACCUGUAUGUGGGUUCAUAGCAAGUUUUCUCUCUUGGAUAAAACAUUAUUUUUUUAUUUUAUUUAUACUAAAUGUUUUUUUUUAUAUUUUGAUAUAAUACAAAUUAAUUUAUGUUUUAGAUAAGCUCUCUUUUACUUNCCUGUCUUUUACUUAUUUACAUUGAAAAUUGACAAAUAGUUCUUUUUCCACAAAAACAGACAAACUAUCUACAAUGAGUUUUUUGCCCUUUGCCACUAUUUAAUCACCUUACCUUAGUUUUACACACAAAAUCCAAUAAUGGAAUAAUGCAUUGAACAUUACACAUUUGCAAAUAAGAUACACAUUAGCAAAAAAUGGUCUUAGCACUAACUUUCACCACCCACCCACCCGAUAACAAAAGAAAAUAUAAUCCGCCCACUCAGUUUCACUUUAUUUGCAAGUAAGUAUAAACAAUAAUAUUGCAGGGUUUUUUUUUCAGUAUGAAUGAGUAUUCAGUCACUAUUCAUCCAUACCUCUUUAAGUAGUUGAUACCAAAUGCUACCAUUAUUCAAUCUCCAUCUAGGGGUAGGGCUAGGUGUUGGUGUUGUUGGAGCAGAAGAAGCAUCAAUGAUAUUGAUAACAAUGAAAGGGGAACUCAAAUCAUCAAGUUCAUCAUCACUUGUGUUUGACUUUCUCAACACUGAUGAUCCAGUGCGACCCAAGUGUUUUAUACAUACAGCCACUCCCUCUCCUCCAACCAAAAUGGUUUUUAUUAUUGAUGAUGCUGAUGGCGGAUCAUAAACAACCGAACCAGCUACACAUGGGACACUGCUCACACAGUCUUCGCCACCCUCUGUAGAAUAUAAAGCCAAAAGAAACCUGUGUUUGUUUACUACUCAAAAUGAAGACAUAAAAGAAGAAAGGAAUAUGCAUUGUAUUGGAAAAAUGAAGACUAAAAACCUCUUAUAUUAUCCAUAUCAAUAAAGCUAUAUUUAUAGCUUCUUAGACACCCACGAUGAAGUAUGAAAACAAUCCAUGCUCUUGACUCCACCUAAUUAGCUUAAGAAUUAACUAUUAUAUAAAACAUAAAACACAAAACAAUAAUAAUUAUCAAAUCUAAAGUUUCAGCCAUGCACGUGAGCUAUGACUAACAAACCGAUUAACCCAACACCUUCCACCCCCAAAUCCUUAGCAUAUAUAAACAAACACCCUCUAAAUGCAUGUUAUUAGACAUACCAAAAUAUCUUUAAUUGGUUGGCUUGUGUGUCCUUCACAUCAACAUAAUUACUUAAUUAAUUAAUUAUACUGAACUCACCUCUGAGUCUAAGGCUUCAAGCACAACUUCAGGAAUAGCAUCUGGACAAAACUCAUCUGGAACAAAACUAUCUAGUAUCCCUUUUAUUAAUGCUACACCAAAACUCAAACAUACCUUCAAAAAAUUUUAAAUAACUUUAGCUUUGUGGAUAACUACACUACUAUAAAAGAAAAAGAGCCCAAUUUUAGAGACCUCUUUUCUGAUUGUGCUAUCUAACAACAUAUCCUUAGGAAGCAUCAUCAGGUCACUUAAUGCAUUCAGGAGAUGAAAAGAUUUGAAUGAUGAAUCAUCAGCAUCUAUAUCAAAUAAAUCAGUCAGCCACCUCGACCAAUUUUCAAUUUGCACAUUGCCAAAUGAACNNNNNNNNNNUAUAUAUAUAUAUAUAUAUAUAUAUAAAGGAUCACUUGCCAUGGGAAUUGGUCGCCUAUGAUUCAGAUCAGAGGCCUGGAAUCGUCAAGGUAGAAAACACAAGUCAAGAAAAAAAAUAAAAUAAGAGACUUUUAGGCAUAAAUGGUAUAUACCCUGUAAUAGGGAUAACAAACUCCUUGAGUGCUUUUUCACUUGUUACUCCAAUUAAUUCGCCAAGACCUUGAGCAUCCUGUUCUCUCAAUUCUGCAGACCUGCUUAUUAGGCCCUGAAGAUAUAUGGGAAGCAAUGGUUGAAGAGCCUUUGGGAGACAUAACCUGGGUAUAACAAUUGGUCCACCCUAUAUGUCCAUCAACAAAUAUUUAAAUAAGAUAAACCUUAAUCACUACUAAAUGCUGAUUAAAAUACACAUAGUUGCCCCUCGAGUUCCAAAACAUUAAAACAACUCUAUUUUGUGCUUAGAUUCCAAAAUAGGACCAAAACAAAAUUCAUACGCAAGUGCUCAAUGGAUGAAAAAACUCAUAUGUACAAAUUCUAAGCCAAAAUACAAGAAUACAUUAGUUCUACAUAAACCCUAUCAACUCGAAAAUAAAAUUUUCUCGUAUAAUAAUUACAUAACCAAAUUAUGUAGUGAAAUCACACAUUAAAGCAAAUGUCUUUGUUAUUGUGAAUUUUGAUACAUCAUAUAUUAUUAUAUUUUUACCUUUAUUAUAGAUUGGUUACCCAACUUUACAUGCAUUUGUUGAGUUUAUUUCUGGAUUUGACAUGCCUUCUGACAUUCACUCAAAGAAGAAAGACAACAUUCUUCUAGAAACUGGGAAACCUUUUCGAUGGCUCUCUUCCAUGAUGAGUUAUCGUUGCCACUAGCUCAUAUCUUCGACCGUAUUUAUUAUAAUUUUUUUUAUAAAUUAAUAAAAAGAUGAAAAUGAUAUAUANNNNNNNNNNNNNNNNNNNNNNNNNUAUAUAUAUAUUAUAUAAAUACAUACCUCUGGUGAUGAUAAAAAAAGGAAAUCACGAUUCAGAGUAAGGUGAAGAGGAAUGUGGAUUGGUUUGAGUAAUUUUGUGCUUCCUUGACUUACAUAGCUAAACCUCAUUAAGUGUAGUAUUAUUAUCUCUGGAAGCUCUAAUAUUUCACUGAUUUACUUGCACAUACUAAUUCACAUAAUAAUAAAAAGAAGUAUACAUUUCCUGCUGAUGAAGCACGAUACCCUUCAAGUGUCUCUGGAGCUGAAAAAAGAUGAAGUGCAUCUUCUAUUGUAUGCAUAGGAUCUGGACAUAUAUUCAAAUGGAGCAAAAGAAAUGGCUGAAUAGUUGCAGAUGCUUUGUUACCUAUUUUUGUUUUACAUUAAAAAUAUAUAAAUGAUGAAUUAAUGAUAUCAUGUUAUUGAGAUGAGUGAAAAAUGUUAAAAGAUUAAAAAAAAAUACCUCUUGCUUUCAUUACACUUUUUAUUUGGCCUUCGAAGAUCUGACUUAAUUUUGAAGGAAUAAAACUUUGUGUUCUUGUGAUUGUAGUUUUGUUCUUUGGUCCAACUGUUUCCCAAAUAUCAUCAUCAUCUUCAUCACUUAAAGAUGAAACCAGUGAAACUUUUCCACCAUUAAAAUUACAAACUUCUCCUUCAAGUUUAAGAAGUUCAUCAUGCAUUUGGUGCAUUACAAAGCUUAAAAACACCUGAGCAUCUUCUUGCCUUUUUAAAAAACAAACUUCAACUCAGCAUCCGAAAUUCCAAACAUAACAUAUAUAAAAUUUGUUGAUUAAUUUUAUAACAUUAACACAAACCUUGGUCUUCCAGAGAAGCUAUUUGGCAUAUCUGGAGAGAAAUUGUUGAGAACAGAUUCAAACAUGAUAGGUCGAAAAGGUUUCCCAGUUUCUAGAAGAAUGUUGUAUUUCUUCUUUGAGUGAAUGUCAGAAGGCAUGUCAAAUCCAGAAAUAAACUCAACAAAUGCAUGUAAAGUUGGGUAACCAAUUUGUAAUAUAGGUAAAAAUAUAAUAAUGUAUGAUGUAUCACAAUUCACGAUAACAAAGACAAUUGAGUCCAACUCCAUCGGCGUUUGCUUUUGAAUGAAUUCCUUGGGAUAAACCUUCCAUAUACGCUCUGCUCCCUUUCCUUUUGGAACAAAACACCAUAGCAAGACUCCAAAUAUGUAAUAAUAAUCGAUCGAUAAAGUUUCUACAUAAGUUGCAGGUGAUCAAAAAUGGCGGAAAUCAGGAAAUGUAAAUUGUACCUUUAGCGAGAUUAGGGUAAAGCCAUCACAAGUUAGAGCCAUCAUCACCUGUGGGAGACCUAGGGGAAGUUGAUCGCCUCUAUCCACCUGCCAAAAAAGUGAAUCGUCUUCCCAUAAGUUUUCGUCACUUUCUCUCGAUCUUGCCGCUCAACCGGACCAAGGACGCCGGGAAGGAAAAGGACGUCCCUCUUCACCUCAUACUCGUGGAUGUGCCACAUUGGCUUUUCUGAAUCCGGCAAGGUGAAGAACAAUUUUUAUGUUACGAUGUUUUCAACUCCGAUUAAAAAAGCCCUAGAAAUUAUCCCAGUGAUUUUGUGAUAUAUGAGUUGUUGAGGUAUACAGCAGAGGUGGUAUCGUGAUUAGGGUUUGCAGAGAAAAGGGGGAAGAAGAGAAUGAAGGGGAUCAAGCGGGGUAUUAAAAAAUUUAAGAUUUUUGAGAGGAUUUCAUUUCCCCCUUUCAAGAAGGCGCGUUUUAGUAAAAAUUAUAAAGCGACAAUCACAGAGGACGCAUAUUUUAGAUAAAGUGCCCUCCGUGUUUUUAUUUUUUUUACAUUCGACACUAAUUUAAGGGCAUGCAAUAAUGCGUGACCUAAAUCCUCAAAUUUUUUGAAGAGACGACACUUUUUUAUUGUCACUCUCGUUUGCGUAACAUAAAUCAAUAAGUGUCGUGAUUUGCACAUCGUAAAAGGGUCUUUUUCUUGUAGUGAGGAGUUGUAUGAUUAGAUGAUUGUCUUUGUGAUAUCAUCUAGGUUGCUGCUACCUGAUAUGUUAUAUGCUGGUAUGAUAUGUUAUUUGUGAUAGUAGUAGAGUUCGGUUGUUUGGACCGAAGGGUAGGUCAGACACCCCAGAUAUGUCUGACAGUAUGUGAUGAUAUGUUUAUAUGCUGGCAUGAUACGUUAUAUGGGAUAGUGGUAGUAGGAGGGGAACAAUCUCCAAGUUCGGUUGUUAGAGCCGAAGGGUAGUUCGGACACCCUAGAUAUGUCUGAUAGUAUGUUUAUGUUAUGAUAUAUGUGAUAGUAGUGGUAGGGGUGGAAUAGUCCAAGAGGGUCGGUUUUUAGGACUGACGGGUAGGUCAGCACCCCAGAAAGGCUUGACACGGGUAGGACGAUACCCCAGAAUGGCCGCAUGGGUAGGUCGGCACCCUAGAAUGGCCGCACGGGUACCUAGAAUGGCCGCACGGGUAGGUCGGCACCCCAGAAUGGCCGUACCGGGUAGGUCAGGCACCCCAGAAUUGCCUGGCAGUAUGUAUGCUAUGUGAUUGUAUGUUAUGUGGCACGAUGGGGGAACUCACUAAGCUUCGUGCUUGCAGUUUACAGUUUUUGUUUCAGGUACCUCUUCAGCAAAGGGGAUGGAGCUGGCGCGGUAGUGGCACAUCAUGAAUGGUUUUCCGCACUAGUGUUUCUUGGUAUUGUACUAUGACAUUAUUCUUAUUUUUGUGAAUGGUUUUCAGACAUGAGAUGUGGUUUUAUGAAAAGUUAUGAUUAGAUGGUGUUUUCUUAUAAAUGUUUUUACAAGUCAAUUUUAAAAAUGAAAUUUUUGGACUUGUAAAUUGGGUCGUUACAUUCCUUCCAUGGUAAGACUUUAAGCAAAACCAAAUCUCCAACUUCGAAUGCCAUCAGUCGUCUUUUCUUGUCAGCAUAGCUCUUUUUACAAUCCUGAGCUGCUAACAUCCUUUCCCUAAUCACUCUUAACUUUUCAACAGUCUGAUGGACUAUCUCGGGGCCCAUAAACUGCCUUUGUUCAACUUCAAGCCAACAUGACGGCGUACGACACUUUUUUCCGUACAAAGCUUAAUAAGGUGCCAUCUUGAUGCUUAAGUGGAAACUAUUAUUGUAGGAAAACUCUACCAGAGGUAAGUGUUCAUCCCAGUUACCUUGGAAUUCUAGGGUACACACUCUUAGCAUUACUAUAGUGUUUGAAUCGUCCUUUUUCUCUAACCAUCGGUCUGUAGAUGGUAGGCUAUACUUAAACACAGCUUCGUACCCAAUUCUUCUUGUAGACUCCUCCAAAACCUUGACGUGAAACGGCUAUCAUGGUGUAACGCCCAUGUUUCUAGGCUAGGCAUUAAUGAUAAUGUAAUAGUCUAGGUUAACCUUUGUAACCCGUCUUGAAAUAAUAAAAAUGUAUUAUUUGAGUAUUAUGUGUUUUGUGCUUAAUUGUGUGACUUAAAUGAAUUAAGGAUAAAAAUAAGCAUCAAAAUGAAAUGUUAGAUAAACUCGAUAUCUAUGAAGGAUGUGGUAGUGGUCGUGGCAAGGUUUCCAAAUAUAUAAAGAAUGCCAAAAUCUGAGUUAUAACGAAAAAGUUAUGAUCUGUCGAAGUUUCGUUACAGAACCGGCACGGCACUGCGUGACGUAAAUAGUGAAUUUACGAUAGAGCGAUAUUUAGUCUUAGUGAUCUAAACAGAAGUUGUAGAAUAAGUUUAACCGAGAGCGUGCAUAAGAAGAACGUCUAAAUUUGACUUCGUAUGAGGAAGUUAUGAUUUUUCGAAGUUUCGAUUUAGCAGUAUGCAACCCAAAUCUCGAAUUACAGAUCGAGUGAUACUUGGCCGAAACAAUCUAAACGGGAAUCGAAGAUCUCGUCGAUAGUAGUCCAAAAGUGAAAAGACAUACGAAAACGGACGUCGGAUGAAGAAGUUAUGAAUUUCUAACGGAGUUUUCCUGUCCGACCUGCUAAAAAUAAUAUAAUAAAAAUAAGUUCAAAAUUAGCCGACGCAGUCUAAACGAAAGUUGUAGAGCAUAGUCUCACCUAUGUGUGGAUAUAAAGAACAUAAAAAAUGGAGCUCGUAUGAGGAAGAUAUGAUAUUAUGAAGUUUUUAAAUAAUUAAAAUAUAUAAAUUUUAUUAUAUAUUCGGAUAAUAUCCGAAUCCAUGACUCAGCCGAUCUGAUCCGAAGAUUACGCCCAACGUACUGCUUGUAGAGGCAUUACGCCCAGCAUAAUCAGGAUUUACGCCCAACGUAAAUCGAGGUUUCAUCCCCUAUAAAUAGAAGUCGUGGGCAGCCGAGUUUUGUUGCUCAUUUCUUCCUCUCUCUCCCGUUUUACCUCGUUUUACGUGCAAGCUUUACCCCCGAAGCCGCGGUAUCAUUCCCGAGACCCGAAGCCCCGGGGAUCCCGAGAAGUAAAGUUUCUGAGCCGAAACUCUGCCCGUGUAAAGCCCGGUUUUGGAGAAAACGUCCUGGUUUUAUCGGAAAAUAUUAUUUUAAUAUAUGAGGUGAUGUCCGAUCAUCUUCUUAUCAAGUGAGUGUAUAUUCCCUUUCUUCUAACACAUAGAUAUGAAGUAUCUACUUUAGAAUAUGUGUUACAUGUGUAUAAAUAUACGUGUAUAUAUAUGUUAUCUGUUUAUUUGGAAUGAGUAUCUUAUUAGUUUUUAAGUUACAUAUGAAUGCAUAUGUAUGUUGUUAUCUACAAAAUGUUGGGUAGAACUUGUGUAGAUAGUUGAUGUGUGAUAAACUGAUGAGAUGCCUCGAUGUGAUUGUGAUCUAGUCAUUCAACAGAAUAUGGGUGACGACCACGGACUCUUUCUAGACUGUCCCGUGGAAUGCUGGCAGGCUCAUAACCUGUAGGUGUUGGUGAACUUGGGUGUUCAUUUGUUGUAUUCUAUCCCCCUCAUGGUUGCCUUAGGACAUUCAUUGUUGAGAAAACCCCUCUGCAGUAGUGUCCGUCCUGAUGAAAAUCCUAGAUUAGGUCCCUUGUAAUAGUUAUUGUCAUAGUGACGUAAAGUGAGGAUAACAGGAAUGGGUAAUCAGGUUAUUGUUGGUUGGUGAAAUUAAAUAUAAUUAGUUAUUGUGGGUUGAAAACCCUAUAUGCUCACCAGGCUCCCAAGCUUGACCCACUCAGUUUUUUUGUAUUACAGGUAGUGGUGCGAGGGCAUAAGUUGGAGAACUUAUGAAGAUGUUUUUGUUUAUAGACCAGUAGUUGUAUAUAACAGUGUAAGGUCUAUGUUUUACUGUUUAUGCUUUUGUGUCUGUAUCGGAACAUGACAUCCUGAGUUUUGAUAUAUAAUGAAAAUACAUUUCUUUAAGAAAUGUUUUGAUAAACUUUAUUUUAUCAUGUUUUGUUUUAGGGACAAAUUCUGCAACUCUUUUAAAUCAAUGGAUUUACUCUGAAAUUAUUUUAAAAACAUAAAUGAAACCGGCCUUUUCUGGCCGUGAUUUUGGGGAUUUCACACAUGGUCUGAUACUAUCUUUAAAGGAACACCAUGAAGUCUUACUACCUCCUUCACGUAAGCAUUUGCAAGCUUAUCUGUAGACCAUCUUGUUGGAUUAGUGUCUAAGUCCAUAACUAUUUUGGUAUGUACUUGACCCGAUGGUGCAUGGUCCUUUUGGGUUGCCUUCACCAAAGCAACUUGAUUGGAGAAAUAAAUAAAGAGAGAGAGGUUAUUAUGAUUUAUUAAUAUGUUAUAAGAAUAAUAUAUUAAAGGAGAAAUCAUAUUUGUUUAAUUAAUAUUGGUCAAUAAUUAAUUAAGAAUUAAUUUUGUGAUCAAGUGUAAUUAAUUAAACUAGAGGGGCUGAAUUGUAAUUAUGUGAUAGUUACAAAAUAAGGUAAGGAUUAUCUUAAAUAUAGGGUGAACGAAUUUAAGGAGAUAAUGCCUUAGAAUUCGACUAGGAUAAGGGUUUCUAAGACUUAUCUUAUGGUUGCUUGGUGGGCAAGCAACUAGAUAAGGAUAAGGACUAAAACCCUAAUCUUUACACCUAUAUAAACCCCCUAAGGCUCAUGAAUUCGUCUAAGCCUUCCCAAGAAGUCCUAAGGACGAAUUCCUACCUCUAUCCUCUCUCUUUAUACCUUCUCCAUUUGCUCUUGGUGUUUGUGAGCCAUUAGAGGAGUGACACUUGUGACUCUAAGCCUUCCAAAGUCAAUUCAUGGAGAAUUGGGAUUGUUAUUACUACAUAACAAUCAAGGUAACAUCUUAAACCUAAUUAUAUGUUAAUAUUGAUUUCCAUAUGCUAGAAUUAGGGUUUAUAGUCUUGGAUUCAUUGCAUGUACAAUAGAGAAACCUAGAUCCAAGCAUUAGGGUUUGUAUGAGCACAUAGGAUGUCUUAUGACCAAAACCCAUCAGUGGUAUCAGAGCCUAGCUUGGUUUCAAUUGUAUUGAUGCAUUGUAUAACUGGAAAAUUCGUUUUUUGGGUUUCUGGAGGCUGGACUCGCCGAGUCCAUAGAUGAACUCGCCGAGUCCAUGCUGACUCGACGAGUCCAUGCCUGACUCGGCGAGUCGGCUCGUCAGAAGGAGGGAAAACCGGGAUUUCUUGCUGUUUUUGCUUAAGGAUAGUUGCCUUAUCAUAUUAGAUCAAUAUAAAUCCGAUUUUAUGAUAUAUUUGACUAUAUUCUUGAUCUAAUUGAAGAUAUUUAUCAAUUAAUAAAAUAUUUGUUUCCUUAUGUGAUAAUUGAUUAAUUAUUUUGAUUAAAUUGAUAAAUUGUUUUGCAAGAAAUCAUUAAAUAAAUCAAAUAUGGAUAAUUAUGUGAUUAAAUGUUAAUUUAGAUUAUUUGUUAUUUGAUCCUUGUUGUUAUGAAAAGUUUCAUAUUUUCCCCUUUAGGUUUUAUAGUUUAAAUUUGAACCCAAAAGUUUUGUUGUUUUGAAAUUUAAAUAGUUGAAACCCUAAUGUUUUGAAAAAGGUUUCAAAACUUGCCCUCAAGUUUUGGAAUUUAAAUUUUGAUUAAAUAGUUUAAUUUUGAUGUAUAUUUAAAUUCUAAACCCUAAUGUGUUGAAAUGUUUCAAAACUUGCCCUCAAGUUUUGGAAUUUAAAAGUUGAUUAAAAGUUUAAUUAGGAAUGUUAAAUUCUAAAACUCUAGUAUUGUUUUGAAAAAGUUCAAAUCACACCCUUAUGGUUUUAUUAAUUAAUUAAGGUGUAUAAUUAAAAGAGGUUUAAUAAAUCCAUAAAAGUUUUGGUUUACAAUUUAAUUGAAUUAAAAGUAUAAUUGUUAAAUUUGACCACCUAGUAUUUUAAAAGUGUAAAAUACACCCUAUACUAUAUAUAACAUUAAAAGUCUAACAUUAUAUAUAUGUAUGAGUAAAAGUCAGUCUUACCGUUAGUAGGCCUCAUUCACGAAGCUGGUCUAUAAGGGGUGUUUAAGGAAAUUGCCUAUAAAAUGGCGAUUGAAUGGGUAUCCACUCUUACCCACCGCACUCUUGACUAGUGGAGGGUCGUUAGCCGAACGGGUAGGAUAGGACGAAACCUUCCAUUAUAAGUAUAAUGAAGUAUAAAAGUAACUAAAUGUUUUCAUAAAAUUCCCAAUCUUAGUUACUUAGGCAAAAGUGAAUUGAUGCAAUUCCAUGAAAUUACACUUUGUGCCCUUGCGAAGACGUUAGUGGAGCGUGUGUGGUUUACCGGCACACUAAAUGGUUCUAAGCAAAGGUAGCAAAGGGUGACUCAAUGUUUGUCAUAGUUCGGUGGAGCGUGUGUGGUUUACCGGCACAUCGAAUAGGUGACUGUAACAUGUGAGGGCACCAUGUAAGUUUGCAUGGUUAUUCACACCCGCUUUGUGAUCCUCGGCAUCCCAGUCACAAACAAGAGGGGCAUAUCGAGAUUUAAACAUGCCAUUGAAAUGUUCAAUGAAUCUCAAAGGAUCUAGGAGUUUUCAUAGAUUUAAAACUUAAAUUUCUUUUUCGUUUUUCAUGGUGGAAAUUAGUGAAUCGUCAUUCACUUACCUUCAAAUGUUCUGCAAUUUGGGUUACGGCAUCCCUCUCCCGAGUUGUAGAAUAUUGUGUUGGGUCCUAGCCUUAGUAUCUCAUUUGGGUGAUUUACUAAGGACUCAAUCAAUCAACUAACUUGAAUUCUUUUUCUCCCGUUUUGUAGAUGUCAAAGUUCGACAACUAUGGUCUUCCCAAAUCCCGUGGAACAAGCAUUCCACAUGAAGAUGAUAUUCCACGAUUCGAUCGAGGAACAAGAAAUCAUGCUUCACUUCCUCCACCUCCUCCAAUUAUUCUCCCUAACCCACAAGUUCAAAGGCUUGAAAAGUUCAAGAUCACUCAAGCCCUUUUGGCAAGUAAACAUAAAGAAGGAAAGUCGGUGUGUGCACACGUCCUAGGGAUGAAGUCACACAUUGAUAGGUUAAGAAUGUUGGGAUCCGUUGUCUGUGAGGAAAUGGCUGUUGAUUGGGUUCUUCAGUCACUUCCUAACUCAUAUAGUGAGUUCGUAAGAGAGUACUAUAUGAUGAACCGCGACGUGACCCUUAUAGAUCUCACCUAUAUGCUUAUUGCUGCUGAAUCAGCAAUGGUUUGGCGCAAUAGAAAAGCAAAGUUGAUUGGUGAAUCUGCCUUCAAGACCUCUAUGGAUAUAGACAAUGGCAACGAAAGACAUGCUAUGAUCGAAAAGUUUGAUCAUAAGAGAAAGGCAAUGUCUGAAGUAGUUCCAUGUCAUGUUCCAAAAGAGUCAAUUUGCUUUUAUUGCCAAGAGAAAGGGCAUUGGAGACGAAGCUGCCCCAUUUACCUAAGAGAUCUAAGAGAUGGGAGAGUCGAAACGUAUGGCUCUAAUAUAGGUAAAAUCCAUUAACUAACUCUUUUAAGCUUCUAUUCUAGAUUCUUAAUACAUAAUGUGAUAAGAUUACAAUUGAUGUUUUGUAGGAUCGAAGAAAAGAAAGGAAGCUUAAGGGAAGAAGUGAGCAGAAUCUAACCGUGAAGGAAUGGAUUUCGAUCGCAUUUCUCGAAGAUUAGAUUCUUGAGCUACUACUUAGAGUUAGAAUUAGAUUGCUAAGAAAGAUGUAUUAGCAUAGUUUUUCAAUGAAUUGCAUUGUAAGGACAAAUUUUUCCGCAAUAAAAUAAAUUUUGAUUUUAAAUUUUAUUUAUUUAUCCUUACAAUGGCGUGUAUGAAAAAUUGAUGUUAAAAUGUUUCUAUUAUUAGCAAUAAUGGAUUUGGUUCUUAUUAUGUUAUUUAUGGAAAGUCGAGAAUUUACCAAAUAGGGAGAGUUUCUCAUCGCCCAAGUUUCAAUUGGACAGAAACUUGGAAUCAUGCAACUUGGUUGCACGAUGAAUGAGAAAUUUCAUAUUUGGAAAUUAGACUAAUUCAUUGACAAAGUGUCAAGUGAAGGACUAGGAGAUCGAGUACACAAAGUUGCGUGUUGAUCAAGUCCACCAUAAGAGUAACAAAGAUAUUCGUCAUGAUUUACUAAAGGUUUAGUAAAUAUGAUUAUACUUAUAAGAUUAAGUGUAAUUCUGAAUUGAUUGAAAAGGUUUAAAUCAAUAGCAGAACGAAUAAGAAGAAUCAAGUAGGCAGAAAGAUAAAAGUUUCUCCAUUCUAAGAAGAAGGGAGAGUACCUUUUAUGCUUUAUGAUAGGUCUUAAUGAUUAAGAACCAUAUCUCAAUUGAUCCUCUAAGUGAGUCUUAGUACAAUUGUAUGUCUAAGAAGAGGAAUCAAGAAUUGAAGAAAUGGUUAAAUCAAGAAGUCAAUCAUACUUCGUUCCAAAACAAGUCUUAGAGUUAAGAUUGUGACAUUGAGUGAUAAGUAUAAAGAAGGUUUAUAACAUUCAUUAAAUGUGGAAAGUUGUGAUGUCUUGGAUAAGACAAAGACCAACUAGGACCAAUUUAUGAAGUGUUUUGAUAAAAGCUACACUAACUCUUGAAUAUUUGUUUGUCAAGAAAUGGUUAUUGACAAGAGAAUCUUAUAUGUCAAGGAGUCAGUGGGAGUCUUAAUGGUCUUGAAAGGUUUCAAGAACAAAUCAAAUAAACCUUAUCGAUCAUCACUAGCACACGAGUUGAGGUUUACAACCUAUCGUGUUGACAUUAUUUUGAUUCUGUGCCAAUCCAAUCGAGUUAAUUAUGCAUGUGAGUUCUAUGAGUUCUCAUUUUGAACGCAUAAAAGGCAAAGCACCUUAAUCAAUGAAAGGUACAUUGAUAGGAAAGGGUGAGCUGCUUAACUACUUGGAAGACAUGGUGGGCAGCUGUGCUACCAUAAAGGCAAGAAAUCGAGAUCAAGAAAGUUCGAUCCAUAAGAGUUUGAAUUUGUCGUAAACUUUGGUUUUGACAAAUUCACAUGGAUAGGAACAAAUACACCGUUUAAAUCUAAGUGUCAUAAGAUUUCCUCCUUCAUGAAAAUGAUUGUGAGGAAAUGCUUUCACUAAGACAGAUUUUAAGAAGAUAGUGAUUGUAAAAUUGCAUUCUCGAAUUCAAUUAUGGUUACGGCAUCCCUUUCCAUAAUUUGAAUUGUGAGGUUUGGCAAUUAGUCUUAAUUGUUUAGACACACAUAUGAACUAUCGAAGGCAAAGGUGUAUAAGUUCAAGAAGCCUUGAUAAAAGAUUAUCAAAGCACUAAGUAUUAGAAACAUGAACUUAAGAAAUUCAAUAAGCAUUUUUUUUCUGAAAGUUAAGAUGUUUAUGAAUACAUGUCGAAGCUAGUGGGAGCAUAAGUGUUAUGUUUUAUAAUAAUCAUCAAGAUAGUGGGAGCAUAAAAGUUAUGAUUGUAUGAUUAUUAAGGAAAGUAUUGCAAGGUUAGCAAUAUUAAUUAUAGAAAACAAGAGUCAUACUUUGCAAAGUCGCAAUAGUUGAAGAGUUGUUUUGCUAUAAUUAAGGGAGAGAAUAUUAUGCUUCAUUUCAAAUCUAAAGGUUUAGGUUGAGAAAUGUUAAUAAAAUUUAGUCAAAGGUACAAAGUGUGUUCUUAAAAUUUCGAUUAUGAUUACGGCAUCCCUCUUCACAAUUCGAAUUUUGAGAACAUAGCAAAUAAAACAUUAUGCGUCGUGUCCCAUACGCUUCGGGUAUAGGAUCGAUUGCAAAUGCUUUAAUGUUUGACCAUUCUAAAAUUUUCCAAAUGUCGAGCGCAUUUAGAGGGAAAAGGGACUAGAAUUGGUUUUGACUAAAAUAAUUAAACAACUAUCAAAGGACAAUCCAAAGUUCGACGAGGAUUGGUCGCUUGUGAGUAGUUGGAAGUAUAGUAUUGGAAAAUAUGGAAAUGUUUCCAUAUUGGAUGGACCAUAUCGACAUCAUUACGAAUAGAUAAGAUUCUAUUAAGAAUGAGUUGUCAUAUGGAACAUAUGGAAGUGUGUCCAUAUUGGGAAUUGAAUAUUGAGAAAUCUAUGACUAGAUUAGAAACUUCUAUGCAAAAGGAUGUUCAAAGAAUGUACUUUGAGUGAGAGACAUCACAUCUAUGGAAUUGUCUUGUAACAAUCUCCGAUAGAGGACUUUGUAAUAUCAUUGGCAAUAGUCUUUGUGACUUUGGUGCAGUGACAUUACGAAAGGAUCGUUGCAUAAAAUGUUAGAAUCUAGCAUAUUCUAUAAGUAGCAAGAAUUUGAUAUUCUUUCACUUAUGAAAAGGAUUUGGAGUUGUGAAAUGAGAAUGAUUGGAAAUGUGUUCAAUUUGAUCUAUUUCACAAAGUAAGAACCAUAGGUAAACAUUGUGUGCAUGCUAGGAGCAUGGGACAAGUGUAAUAAUUCAAGUAAGAAGUUGAUUACCCGAAACGACAAAUAAUGAGUAAUCGAUAUGGUGAUAAAUAAAAGGUGUUUUAUUUAUACUCAAAGGUUUGAGGCCAUAUGGGAUUAGUAUUAUUCUUGUGUUUCACAUUUGCAUGUUUUGACUUCCAGAAUAAUUGAGUUUAUUAAGAAUAAUCGAAUUAUUCGAACGGGCCACAGUCGUUCAUAUGUUGGAAGUAGAUAUGAAUGAAGACUGUCGUGAAUUGGUGUGUGGAUUGUCUAAAAGAGUAUUAGACAUAAGCAAAUGUUUGCUGCAACGUUCAUGAGUGCUUAUGAAUAUGAUUUGAGCAUUGGAUUAAACCCACGCUCACUUGGAUCACUCCAUGAAUUGUAUCACGAGUGAUUGGUGAGACGAUAACAUCUUAUAUUCUUGAAACCGAGAUGUGUGAGUUGUAUCUUGCGAAUCGGUUGCACAUUGAUAAUAUGUAAACGCACUAGUAACUUGGUGUUAUAAAACAUAUUGUUGUGUGUGAUUUGGUUAGUAAGUGCAAGCAAGCAUUGUAUCAAAGUUUAUCCGUUCCUUUUAUCCAAAGUAGGAUAAAAGCGAUAUCUUUGGGCCCCUCGAUGAUUUAGUGAUGACAAACGUAAAUGCUCGGCCGGGCUAGGGCUAAUUUGAUUUGUUCAAUUAGUCAGUCGUCAUAAAUCGGGAAUCGAGAUAUAGUACAAAGAGAAUGAUUUGAAAUCAUAUCUCAUAUGAUAUCUAGAAUGGAGGAAUAUAUGAUCCCUUAUCUAAGGACACGCGUAUCUGAUAUGAUCAGAGUUGACAGCGGCUUUGGAAAGCUACGAUUGCAGAUCAGGAUCUGAAGUCAUACGCAGAAUAGUUGUUAGACUUAUCCAAGUGGGAGACUGUUGGAUUAGUGUCUAAGUCCAUAACUAUUUUGGUAUGUACUUGACCCGAUGGUGCAUGGUCCUUUUGGGUUGCCUUCACCAAAGCAACUUGAUUGGAGAAAUAAAGAGAGAGAGAGGUUAUUAUGAUUUAUUAAUAUGUUAUAAGAAUAAUAUAUUAAAGGAGAAAUCAUAUUUGUUUAAUUAAUAUUGGUCAAUAAUUAAUUAAGAAUUAAUUUGUGAUCAAGUGUAAUUAAUUAAACUAGAGGGGUUGAAUUGUAAUUAUGUGAUAGUUACAAAAUAAGGUAAGGAUUAUCUUAAAUAUAGGGUGAACGAAUUUAAGGAGAUAAUGCCUUAGAAUUCGACUAGGAUAAGGGUUUCUAAGACUUAUCUUAUGGUUGCUUGGUGGGCAAGCAACUAGAUAAGGAUAAGGACUAAAACCCUAAUCUUUACACCUAUAUAAACCCCCUAAGGCUCAUGAAUUCGUCUAAGCCUUACCAAGAAGUCCUAAGGACGAAUUCCUACCUCUAUCCUCUCUCUUUAUACCUUCUCCAUUUGCUCUUGGUGUUUGUGAGCCAUUAGAGGAGUGACACUUGUGACUCUAAGCCUUCCAAAGUCAAUUCAUGGAGAAUUGGGAUUGUUAUUACUACAUAACAAUCAAGGUAACAUCUUAAACCUAAUUAUAUGUUAAUAUCGAUUUCCAUAUGCUAGAAUUAGGGUUUAUAGUCUUGGAUUCAAAGCAUGUACAAUAGAGAAACCUAGAUCCAAGCAUUAGGGUUUGUAUGAGCACAUAGGAUGUCUUAUGACCAAAACCCAUCACAUCUUUCAUUGGCUACUAUGAAGUGUGCACUCUUAGUAAACCGAUCAACGACCACCCAAAUCAUGUCGUGACCGUCCUUCGUUCUGGGCAGUUUAGUGACAAAAUCCAUGGUAAUGUCUUACCACUUAUCCAUGGUUACACAUAAAGGUUCUAAAAUCCUAUAUGGUUUCUGAUGUUGUGCCUUAACUCUCACAUAGGUCACACACUUGGCCACAUACUUUGCAAUGUUGAGCUUCAUCUUCGGCCACUAGUAGUAGGGUUUCAGAUCCCUAUACAUUUUUGUGCUGCCGAGAUGAAUCGAGUACAUGGUCUUGUGAGCUUCUUCCAUCAGAAGAUCUCUUACUUCGCCCAUCUUGGAAUACCUUUAAUCCUUGAUUAUUUGUACCGAAAACCAAGUUUUUGCUUAAACAUUCUUCCUUUUGGUCAUUCUCCUCUAAAACUUCCUCCCAAGCUUUGUUGAUGCUUUCCACAAUCAUUGUGACAACCUCUAUUGAUUGUUUUGAUUAUAUUUCUCUUCAAUCUUCUGUCCUAACUCAGAUGCUACAUGAAACUUGGUUCUCUGAACCAUGUAACAUACUCAUCUUAGUUGGACUCGAUAUGAUACGACCACUAGGGUCAGAAUCAGAAUCAUCUUCUUAGUCAUUACCAAAACGAUGGUAAUGAAGAACUUGAACAAAACAGAAUCAAUUACUAGCUUCUUAGUAACCUUGCGACUUUCACUGAUCCAAGUGCAAGUCCUGUGCUUCCGGUAGUAUAGGCCUCUACUACCAUUCACACCUACUCAUACUCGUUCAAGGUGCUAUCUCACAGUUUUCCAAGUCAUCAUUCAAGAGUUUCACAUAAUCAUUUAACACAUCAGAUAACAAAAUCAAGGUUUUAUAUUAUUUCUUGAAAUGAUUACAUAAAUGUUCAACUUCGUCCUAUACUAUGCCUCUAAUAAGUUGCGCUACAUGAUGCUAUCCACAUGGCCACUUCAUAACUUGAUCUUCGGAUAUCAGUCCUCACUCCUGCUUCCUUGCAUUGUCAGCUGCUUCGUUAAGGAUCAUUUGGAAUGCCCUUGGCUGGGGCGGUGCGUUUGGCCUUGCCGCUUUAUUCUUCCUUGGGCGGUUCUUCAAAAUAUGCCAUCCUUCAUUGCAUUCAUAGCACACCCUCUUGCGGGAUGUACACUCAUUGGCGUAGUGCCCAGGAUUUUCACACUUAAAACAAGUGACCUCCCGUCACAUUUCCCAUGGUGCUUCUUUUUGUACUUUUCACACCAUUUCGCUUCAACUCCUCCUCCUCUCGAACCAGACUUCGAGAAAUUACUUUUCUUGUUGGAUUUCGAAGAUCCAUCAAACUUCCUUUUCUUACCAACCUCUGCCCUCUCCAGACCCUUCUCCCUUAUCCGUGUCUCAACAAUCUUCAUAGCUCUAACGACUGCCUUCAACGUGCUUGCCAUUUUGACUAUUGGGCCAAAGUCUGAUGGCAAUCCGUUAGCAAAUUUCUCUAUCUUGGCGAGUUCAGUCGACACCAAGUAUGGAAAUAACUUCAUCUUCUCAGUGAAUGCAGUAGCAUAAUAAUCAAUGCUUAUUCUCCGUUCUUCAAUUUCUGGAACUCAUUGUUUAGAUCUAUCAUAUCUAUUUCGGAGCAGUACUGCAUUUUCAACUGCAUUAUGAACUCUUCCUUAGACAUUUUCAGAGCUUUUCCUCGUGGCAUCGUAUCCGUUAAUAACUUCGACCAGCUUAAAACUUUGGUCUUUACUUGUUUGACCGCAAAGACAAUUUUUUGUUUGUCGCUAUAGUUGCAGCUUUCAAAUACCAUCUCUAUUUCGACAUGAUCUUCAUUGUGAUUUGACGAAACAUAUUUGGACGGUUAUGCUUUUCAUGGCCAAUUUUCGAAGAAGUACUUCUUUUAAAUUGACGAGUGUGACAUCCACCAUUUUCACGGUCAGAAAAGACUGAUUUUGUUUAUGCUUUAUAAUAAAAUCAGAGUAACCUUUUUAAAGAAAAGUGUUGUGGAAUUUGUUCCUAAAAUAAAAUAUGAUAAAGAUUUAUCAAAACAUUUCCAAAGAAAUGUAUUUCAUUGUAUUAAAACCUUGGGAUGUCAUUAUUAAUACAAAUCAGAAACAUAAGCAGUACAACAUAGGCGUUACAACAUUUAUUUAAAUCUACUAGCCUAUAAACCAUAAUCCUCUCGUCAAGUCAUCCAACUAUGCUCUUGCCACUACCUAUAAUACAAGAAACUGAGCCGGUCAGGCUUGGGAGCCUGGUGAGCACAUAGGGUUUUCAACCCACAAUAAAUAAUUUUGUUAAUUUCAACAAAUGAAAUAAACCAGAUUACCCGUUUCUAUUUAUCCUCACAUUACGUCCCUAAAACAUCUAAUAUAAGGGACAUAGCCUAAGGAUUAUUGUAGCACCUGGUUCCUAGUACGUAAUCCUUGUAAUUAAUAUUUCUUAAUUUUGCAUUUUUGCCUUGGACUUGGCGAGUUGAAGAACCGACUCGUCGAGUAGAAGCGGGAUGAGAAGCGGGGUCUGAGCUUUGGACUCGGCGAGUAGACCCUGUUUGGGCAAAAACCCUAACCAAAGUGUUUGCACCCUAUUUAAACGCUCUAACUUGGCCUCCUUUGUCCCGAACACUCCCAGAGAGCUGAAGAGCGAAACCCUAGCCCCCAUUUUGUUCUUGAGAGUGAUUUUUGGCUUUGUGAAGAAGGUUUGGAGCUUAGAAGAAGAAGAAAUAGGUUGUAGUGUGCAAAGAGGGGAAGUAGAUCCGGAAUCUACACUACAAGAGGCUUCCAUUCAGCCGGAGGAUUACCGAUUCAGCAGUCAGGCGCUUAGCAAGCAGAUUUUCAGCAGCUACUUUUCGAGGUGAGUUACCUUCCAGUAGCGGUGGGUCUAAGGCCACAAUGUCGGCCCACCAGUAGGAGACGUAUGAUAGAUGAGUGUCUUUGUGAUAUCAUCUAGGUUUGUUACUACCUGAUAUGUUAUAUGCUAGCUUGAUGUGUUAUAGUAGUAGAGUUCGGUUGUUAGGACCGAAGGGUAGUCAGAUACCCCAGAUACGUCUGACAGUAUGUGAUGAUAUGUUUGCAUGUUGGCUUGUUAUGUUAUAUGCGAUAGAGGUAGUAGGGGGUGAAAUAGUCCCCGAGGUUCGGUUGUUAGGACCGACGGGUAGUCAGCACCCCAGAAUGGCUUGACAUAGGGAGGGCGGCACCCCAGAAUGGCCGUACAGGUAGGUCGGCACCCCAGAAAUGCCUAGCAGUAUGUAUGUGAUAUGAUUGUAUGGUAUGUGGUACGAUGGGGGGGACUCACUAAGCUUUGUGCUUACAGUUUUCAGUUCUGGUGUCAGGUACCUCUUCAGCGAAGGGGAAGGAGCUGGCGCGGUAGCGGUACAUCAUACACACACAUUGGAUUUCCGCAUUAUGAGAUGUCCUGGGAUUGUACUCUGACAUUAUUAUUAUUUUCAUGUUUUGGGUUUUCAGACACGAGAUUUGUUUUAUGACAUGAUAUGAUCGGAUGAUGUUUUACUGCAAAUGUUUUACAAACCACUUAUUUUAAGUGAAAUUUUUGGGCGUGAAAAUUGGGUCGUUGCAAUUAUCAUCGGGGUAACAACAUUGCUUAGGGGAUACUGUGACAUCCCCAAAAUCUUGGCCAGAAAAGACCGAUUUUCAUUUAUGCUUUUAAAAUAUUUUCAGAGUAAAUCCUUUUGAUUUGAAAGAGUUGCGGAAUUUGUUCCCAAAAACAAAACAUGAUAAAACAAUGUUUACCAAAGCAUUUCAUAAAAGAAAUGUAUUUUCAUUAUAAUCAAAACUCGGGGUGUCAUGUUCCGAUACAGACCAAUAAGCAUAAACGAAUACAUUACAAGUCAUAUAACAAAUAUAAACAUAUGCAGACUUGUAAACAAAACAACUUGAUGGUUCAUCCAUCUCAUGCCCUUCCGCCACUACCUGUAAUACAAUUUAAAACUGAGUGGGUCAGGCUUGGGAGCCUGGUGAGCAUAUAGGGUUUUCAACCCACAAUAAAUAUCAUAUUUAAUUUUCACCAACCAACAAUAACCCAAUUACCCAUUCCCGUUAUUCUCACUUUAAUGUCCCUAAAACAACUAACAUAAGGGACCUAGUCUAAGAAUAUUUCAUCGGGGCGACAACACAUGCUUCGGGGGUACCUCAGCAAUAUAAGUCAAAUAAGGCAACCAUGAGGGGGAUGGAGUACAGCGAAUGAACACCCAAGUUCAUUAACACCUACAGGUGGCGAACCUGCUAAUGUUUCCACAAGACUAUCUAGAAAAGUCCGUGGUCGUCAUCUAAACUCCGCUAGAUGACUAAAUCAAACAACAACGAGGCCUCUCAUCUGUUUAUUACACACCAACUAUCUACCCAUGUUCUACCCAACAUAUUAGUAGAUAAAAAUAUACAUUUUUAUACAUAGUUUAAAAACCUGUAUAGCAUGCUUUAAUCAACACAUAUUUCACAUAACAGAUGAGGCACACACACACAUAACACGUAUCUCAUAGAGAAUAAAUCAUAUCUAUGAGAUAGAAGAAAGUGAAUACACAUUCACACACAUAACCACAAAAUUAUACACAUAAUACGUAUUCCGUAUAAAAUACUUCAUAAUUAUGCGUUAGAAGAAAGUAACUACACACUCACUUGAUCAGAAGAUGAUCGGACAGCACUACGACUUGCAGAAGUAGUAAUCCUCAGCAGAUCUGGAAGAUCUUCACAAAAAUCGAACUUCUCGCGGGCAGAGCUUCGGCUCGGGAACCGCACUUCUCGGGAUCUUCGGGAUCUCGGGACUUGCCUCGGGGCUCGAGUAUGAUACCGGGGCUUCGGGGUAUUUCUGGCACGCAAAACGAUGCAAAACGGGAGAGAGAAGAGAGAAAAUGAACAAAAGAAUCGGCUGCCUUCGGAUCCUAUUUAUAGGAGGCUGAAGCCUCGGAGUACGCGAGGUGUACUGGUCCGAAAAACGUCACUGCUUACGUAUCCGAAGACUCGAGUGCGAAUGUCGACAUCCCUCGGUGUACGCGGGGCGUACUUCGGAUCGGAUUGCUGACUCCCCUUCGGAUAAUACCGGAUUUUCUAAUAAAAAUUAAAUACAAAUUAUUUAAUAAACUUCGGAAAUUCAUCUCUUCUUCAUACGAACUCCGUUUUCGACGUUCUUUAUAUCCACGCGAAGGUGAGACUACGCUCUACAACUUUCGUUUAGACUCCGUCGGCUAAUUUUAACUUUAUUUUUAUUAUUUAUUUUUAAUAGGCCGGGACAGAAAAACUUCGUUAUAAAUUCAUAACUUCUUCGUUUGACGUCCGUUCUCGCCUAACUUUUUAUCGCUUCGAGACCAACAACGAGACCUUCGAUCCUCGUUUAGGUUGCUUCGGCUCAAAACCGCUCGAUCUCAAAUCGAGUAUUUCGGGCUGCACACCGCUAAACCGAAACUUCGAUAAAUCAUAACUUCCUCAUACGAAGUCAGAUUUGGGCGUUCUAUAUAUACAUUCGUAAACCUCGUUUCAACUACUACAUCAUCAACCAAAGAUAUCAAGUUUAUUUUACACUUUAAUUUUGACGCUUAUUUUUAUUCUUAAUUAAUCAAACCACAUAAUUAAGCAAUUAAGCACAAAACACAUAAUACUCAAAUAAUACAAUCAUAUUAUUUCAAAACGGGUUACAAAGGUUAACUUAGACUAUUACAUUGCUAAAAAUGGCAAGCCCGGAAACACAGGCGUUACAGAUACCUCAACAUUUUAUGUCAAAUAAGGCAACCAUGAGGGGGAUGGAGUACACCUGGUGAACACUGAGUCCAAAUAAACACCUACAGGUUGCGAGCCUGCUAGCGUCCCAUUGGACUGUCUAGAAAAGUCUAUGGUCGUCAUCUAUACUCCGCUAGAUGACUAGAUCAUCGUCAAUAUCGAGGCCUCUCAUCAUUUUAUUUCAUCACACGCCAACUAUUUCAUCUACCCACGUUUUACCCAACAUAUUUGUAGACAUAAAUUACAUAUACAAUUCAGAUCUAAAAAACAAAAUNUAUAUAUAUAGUUUAGAUCUGAAAAGAAAAGUCUAGAUCUGAAAUGAGAAAGUUUGGAUUUGAAGGAAACAGUUCAGAUCUGAAAGAAAGAGUUUAGAUUUGAAAGAAAAGUUCAUAUCUAAAAAGAAAAAGGUUUAGAUCUUUCUUCCAACAUAGAUCUCAGGUAAACAGAUAAUAUAUAUACACAUAACACGUAAUUUAUAUAAAAUAGUUUAGAUCUGAAAAGAAAAGUCUAGAUCUGAAAUGAGAAAGUUUGGAUUUGAAGGAAACAGUUCAGAUCUGAAAGAAAGAGUUUAGAUUUGAAAGAAAAGUUCAUAUCUAAAAAGAAAAAGGUUUAGAUCUUUCUUCCAACAUAGAUCUCAGGUAAACAGAUAAUAUAUAUACACAUAACACGUAAUUUAUAUAAAAUAUUUCAUAUUUAUGUGUAAGAAGAAAGUAAAUACACACUCACAUGAUAAGGUGGCGAUUCGGACAACGUUUUGCUUCUUAAAAUAAUCUCCAUUGAUGAAACCGGGAAGUUUGGUUGAAAACCGGGCUCUGCGGGGGGGCAAAGUUUCUAAACCGAAAAACUCUUUUUCUCGGAGACUUCGGGCGCUCCGGGGCUUUCUUCUAGUGCUAAGGAGGUCCCCUAGGCUUCGGGGGUGUUUAGGGUGGAUAGAGAGAGAAAGAGAGAGAGAGAGAGAGAGAGAGAGAGAGUAGAGUAGAGAGUGAAAGAAGUGUGAAAUAUGUGAGAAAACAUGGCUAGCCUCGCAUCCUAUUUAUAGUCAGGAGGUCUCGCAUUACGUUGGGCGUUCCUCGGUCUACAUGGGGUGUUCCUCGGUACGCAGGGCGUACCCUCGUACGCGGUACGGUUUGCGAGGUUCGGAUUUGUCACCCUUCAGAUGGAGCUAUGUGGCCAAUUCCGGACCUAGCCUUUGCGAACGCGGGGUGUUCUCUUCGGAUAGCCUCGAAAUAUGUACCUCUUACUUCAAAAAUUCAUAUAUUUUGCAUACGAGCUCCGUUUUCGACGUUAUUUAUAUCCACGCGUAGGCAGGACCGUACUCUACAACUUUUGUUUAGACUCAGUUGGCUAAAUUUGACUUUAUUUUUAAAGUUAUAUUUUUAACAGGCCGGGACAGGAAAAGUCUAUUAAAAAUUCAUAACUUCUUCAUCCGACGUCCGUUUUCGUUUUUCUUUUAACCGUUGAACUACUAUUGACGAGAUCUUCGAUUCUUGUUUAGGUUGUGUCGGAUAAAAAUCCCUCGAUUAUAAUUCGAGCUACGGGCUGCACACUGCUAUGCUAAAUCUUAGAAAAUUCAUAACUUCCUCGUACCAAGUCAGAUUUGGACCUUCUUUUUAUGCACGCUCUUGAUUUAACGUAUACUAGGAUUUUCAUUUAGAUCGCUAAGGCUAAAAUGCACUUUAUCGUAAACUCACUUUUUACGUCACGCAAUAUCGUGCUAGUUUUGUCGUGAAACUUUAACAGGUCAUAACUUUUUUGUGAUAACUUGGAUUUCGGCAUUCUUUAUAUGUCCGAAAUCCUUGUCACGACCACUACAACUUUCUUCAUAGAUAUCAGAUUUAUAUAACAUUUUAUUUUUGAUGCUUAUUUUCAUUCUUAAUUUAUUAUAUCAUUAUAAAUAAGUAUAUAAUCACAUAAAAUCACGUAAUUCACAUAAUAUUCAAGUAAUUCAUCUUUAUUACUUUAAAAUAGGUUACAAUAGUUGACCUUGACUAUUACAUCAUCAUACUAAUGUUUAGCCCAGAAACAAGGGCAUUAGAACGAGUAUGUUACUAGGGAGAAGAGAAAGAAAAAGAGAAACGGAAAACAUGAAGGUUUCACGAGAACUUCUCACUGAUAUCACUAUUCCCGUCGGUAACGUCAUGGACAUUGCCGGUGAUAAGGUUACCUCGUUACCAGAGGCAUUUUCGGUGAAAAACGACAUGAGUGAAGCUUUUCAUCGGAGUUGAUAGAGAGAAAAAGAGUAACACGGAAGAGGGAAGAAUGAAGUCGCUAAGGGUAUUAUUCGUGUCACACUUUAGCAACGAUACCAUUUAGUGGUGUCGAAAGACAUUUGUGGCAACUCGAAACGUAAUAGUCGCGACACACUUUUGAGGGAAUAAUUGGCAGAGGGUUCGAGUAUUAGCGGUGACACCGUUGCUGGUAUUAGUUAGUGGUGUGUAUGGGGCGGUUUGGUUCGGUUAUUGGUUAAAACCGAACCAUAACGAUUAUGAUUGGUUAAUGCAUUUUGGUAGCCAUUGGGUAUGGUUAAUAUUGGUUAUGGUUAGUAGUUUUUAUCGGUUAACGGUUUUGGUUAAUGGUUAAUAUUGGUUAACCAUAAUGUUCAAAAUAAUAUAAACGACGAAAGUAUUUUGGCAUGAAAAAUGAAAAUAAAAUACCAAAAAGUCCUCGACGCCGAUGUUUGUAACCUAACUUAUAGUAAUAUAAUAAAAUGUGUAUCUGUAAUACUUAGAGUGAGAUAACACAUAGUCACAUUUAAAAUCAAAAAUAUUUAAUAAAAAUAUAAAACAUUAAAAAAAUUGACAUUAAUAAUUUCAUAUAUUGAUAAUUGAUAUUAAUAUUAAAAUAAAGUCAAACAUUCAUACACGUUCAAUACGAUUAAAUUAAAACUAUUAAAUAAAAAAGCCAAACAUUCAUAUUCUGUGUUAUUAGAUAUAAAAAAAAAAAAAAGUCAAUCACUCAUCUACAUUCAAUGUGAUUAAGUCAAAAACACUAAAAAAAUUCAAAAAAUUAAAAAAAAAUACAUUCUUAAUAUAUCACAUAGUUAAAAAGAACCAAAAACUUAACUUACCUAGAAGUCUUGAGUAUAAAGUCAAAAAAAUCCUUCGAAUAGGACUAUAAAGUCCAAACAAUCUUUGAUUAUGAUUAACGGUGUGAGAAGCCUUCGAUUAGGAUUAUGAGUGUGAAGAUUAAACUAAUUGUGAAUAAUGUUUACAAAUUGUAGAAUUAGCCGAUUAUGAAUUACAACAUUAAUUAAUAAUCUAACUCAAUGUAUGAUUGGAAGAUUAUGUGUGUCUGAGUGAUCAGUCUUUGAUGAUUUGAUUGCUCGUUCGUCUCCUGGUAAGUGAAGAUUAAUAGAUUAUAUUUUCAAAAUUUUAAUGGAUCUUAAAUAAGUUUGACUAUAUNUCUCUUUCUCUCUCUCUCUCUCUAUAUAUAUAUAUAUAUAUAUAUAUAUAUAUUAAAAUAUAAAGUUAGCGGUUCGGUUAAUAAUGGUUCGGUUAACCUAUAAAACCAUAACCGAACCGUUAGUUAUUGGUUAACAAAAAUUAGAAACCGAACCAACGGUUUUUAAAAUGGUUCGGUUAUAACGGUUAAUUUGGUUUUGGUUCGGCUUUUCGGUUAUUAUGCUCACCCCUAGUAUUAGUUUCGCCGUUAUUGUUAUGUACGAAAUCAUUUUUCAAGUGUUGGAUUAUGACAAAAUCGACGAAUAGGGUUUAACCUCAGAUUUUGACGCGGAUCGGGGUUGAUGAGUUUCGCCUUUAGCGGUGACAACCACCAUUACAACGAGACCUAAUCUAAAUGUUGGGUAUCGCUUGUAAUGGUGGUUGUCGCAACUAAAGGAUUCGCCACUGAAGUCCUAUAUUGUUGUAGUGAUAAAUGUUAAACCUAAACACCAAUUUAAACACACCAACCACUAGAAAUUGGUGGCGACAAGUUCAUGGCAUUAAGAGCGAUAACAAAUGGUGUAUAAAUCCAUUAUGAUCUUCGUUGCGAUUUAACAGAACAUAUUUGGACGGUUAAUGAUUUUGAAGCUCAAUUUUGGAACAAUUUUUUUUUUGAUCCAUCAUGUUAUUAAGUUUUAAGUUUUUAAUUUUUUGAGUUGUUAUGGUUUAGUUUCUUGUUGUGUAAUUUUUAUUUUGAUUUAAUAUAAAAUUUAGUUUUUAAAAAAUUAAUUGCUAAAAAAAGUACUGAUGUUAAAAAAAUGAUGUUAAUCCGCCUAACCUAAAUGUAAAUGGUAUGUUGAAGACGGUGUGUAGCAAAAUCAAAUAUAAGCUGCUGGUUGAUGCAUCGGGUAUUGUAUUACGUGAGGUUGAUAGUUUGAUUUGUUGAAAUUAUCUUUUGUGUGUUUGAGAAUUCUUUUAUGGAAGUCCCUAUAAAAAGGAGUUCAAACUCAAAUGUUGGUUGAAAUAUUGCGAGUACACUUCACUUAAUUUGAUUGCGGUUAGGAAGCAAUUUAAUUUCUCAAAAGAUUAAAUGCCACUAAUAAAUUAAAAAAAUAAACUAAAAAUCAACACCAAAUUAAUGCCAAAGCUUUAAACCAUAUAUUACUAAAUUAAUUCACAUACGCCAUCAAAAAAAAAUUCAUGUCACAAACCCAUACUCAUAAAACUCACUUUCCAGGUACAAAGUUUGUAGCAUAUGACCAUGCAUUGUUUGCAACAGGGUCAGCAAGGUGGUCAGCGAGGUUCUCCAAUGGUCCCUUUCCGGUAACAAUGGCUUGAACAAAGAAUCCAAACAUAGAGAACAUGGCUAGUCUACCGUUCUUGAGCUCCUUCACUUUCAGCUCAGCAAAUGCCUCUGGGUCAUCAGCCAGACCCAAUGGGUCGAAGCUACCACCAGGGUAAAGUGGGUCAACUACCUCACCAAGAGGUCCACCAGCAAUUCUGUAACCUUCAACUGCACCCAUCAAGAUCACUUGGGUAGCCCAGAUGGCUAAAAUGCUUUGUGCAUGGAUCAAACUUGGGUUCCCCAAGUAGUCAAGACCACCCUCACUAAAGAUCUGGGAUCCAGCCUUGAACCAUACAGCCUCACCAAACUUGACACCAUUACGCGCCAAGAGUUCGGGGAAGACGCACCCAAGAGCUCCGAGCAUGGCCCAUCUGCUGUGGAUGACCUCAAGCUCACGGUUCUUGGCGAAUGUUUCAGGAUCAGCAGAGAGCCCAGCAGUGUCCCAACCGUAGUCACCGGGGAACUCACCGGUCAGGUAAGAUGGGGCUUCGCCGGAGAAUGGGCCAAGGUACUUAACACGGUCGGGGCCGUACCAUGGACUUCCUGAUGGUGCGACUUUCUUGACUGCUGUCUUCCUCAUGGAAACCCUUCCAUUUCCGGUGAUUUCUGAACCAGAUGGUGUUAUUUUCACUGCUUGUCCGAUGAAUGAAGAAGAUACAGACAUAGUGGAAGCUGCCAUUCUGUUAAAUUUGGUUGAAAGAUGUUGUGGAGAUAGGAGAGUUUGAGUUAUGAAGAUGGGGAGAUCUGCAAGUUUAUUUAUAAGGUGGUUUUUUGGUCAGAUAGAUAUGAUCGAUGCUUAUCUAGAUACAAUCUUCACCUUCAUUUUGAUUGGCAAACAACAUUCUAGUUUUAUCUAAGGGUCAGUAAUCUGCGUGCUGUGAGUUCUCUGGUCCACCAGAGAUUUUUGAAGGGGCUGCGGUAUAUUCAUGGCUCUGGUUUAUUGAGGGAAUGUAAUGGCUCCCAUUCUCAGCCACAAGCUGUUCUUGGUGGGGUUUUUCAUCUUUAACCAUUUUACAUUUUCACAAAGUUACAUAAAUAGUCAUCAUGCUUUACAAAGUCACCGGUUCAGCAACAAACUUUUUUUCCAUGAUUAAAAAUUCAAAACGGUCCGUAUGGUUUUAAUAUUAUUAGUAAUCAUCUUAACAUUUCUAAUUUUUAAAGACAAAUAUUCAUAUAAAUGGUUAUGUGAUUUUCCAGAAUAUCAAGUGGAGCACAUCAUUUUUUCGGUCUUAUGGAAUGACUAUUUGGUUUCAAUUCCUAUCAUAAUUGAUCUUAGAGCAUCCACAAUAGGGGAGUUUAAUGGAAGAGUUGAAUGAGGUGUCAUGCCUACUUGUCAUUCAAUGGAUACAACUCCACCAUUGUGAAAUGCCACCUUGGCAUUCAAUGAAUUUGGAGUUCAAUGGUCAUUGAACUCUUCAAUGGGAAAAAGGAAAAUCUUUAAAUCUUUAAAUAAAUAUUUUUUAAUAUAUUCCAUUGAACUUGUAGAGUUUAAUGCAUUGUGGGAUAAAAAUGAAAAGAGUUGUAUGGAAUAAUGAAUGAUGACGUGACACUCCAUUGAACUCUAUAGAGUUCAAUGCAUUGUAGAUGCCCUUAGUCCCACAUAAAUAAACUUUUAUACCCUUCUAUAUUAUAAUUAGUUUAUUUAAUAUAUAAAUAGCUAUGUUUUAUAGUUAACAAUAAAUUUUGUUCAUNNNNNNNNNNNNNNNNNNNNNNNNNNNNNNNNNNNNNNNNNNNNNNNNNNNNNNNNNNNNNNNNNNNNNNCUCUCUCUCUCUCUCUCUCUCUCUCCCAUCACACCCUCCUAAUCUUUAUUUCUUUCACUCGAUCGGUCAACCUCUUUUCUUUCUACAUAAAAAUUAAUCCAAAAUGCAGCCUUUUCCCAUACUCUGUGCUUGCACCGCCACUUUACCUUCUUGAAACCAAAUUACUAACCAUACACAAGUCUACAAAUCUACUAAUGUGUCUUCCAUUUCUCAAAAUCGAAAAAUAGAGAAGGUGUAGAACAUUGAGCUCACUUCUGUGCAUCUCCCACCUCUUUUACACAAAUAUGAAAUUAAAAUUGAAGAACAACUUUGUGAAGAACCUAGAUUGUGGAGAUGAUGAUGAAUAAAGUCGAUAGUUGGUGGUGCUCGGUGAUGUUUGAUGUUAGCGGCAGUACACUAGUGUUGUGGUGAUCGCCUGUUCAGUUGGUUAUAUUCUGGUAGGGUGGACGAUGGUGACCGUAGAACAGUUCAUAUAUAUAUNNNNNNNNNNNNNNNNNNNNNNNNNNNNNNNNNNNNNNNNNNNNNNNNNNNNNNNNNNNNNNNNNNNNNNNNNNNNNNNNNNNNNNNNNNNNNNNNNUAUAUAUAUAUAUAUAUAUAUAUGUGUGUGUGUGUGUGUGUGUGUGUGUGUGUGUGUGUGCGCGCGCACACUACAAGAAAUUUAGGUGUUUAUCCACACACGUUAUAUGUGGCUAAAAGACCUUUAUGUGUAGUUAUCUUUAGCUACACACAGAUUAAGUGUCAUAAUGUAUUGACUCAUGCCUAUAGAUAUAUAUCAUUAACUAUACAUUCAUUAUGUGGAAGUAUAGUGCAAUUAGUACACACAUACAUGUGUGGUUAAAACUAGUAAGUAUGUGCAUAUAGAAAGGGAGCUGAUCCGUUCACAACAAUUUUUCUCCAUACACAAUAAUUGAUGCUUUAAAAUGUUGUAUUAUACAACUAUAUAAUGCAUGAAUUGUUGUGUAUGGCAAAAAACUGUUGUGUACGAAUCACUUCCCAUAUAGAAGUACUAAAAAUUGUUUGAGUUGUCAACGAUGUGGCUGAUGACAUGUCAAAUUAUGUGGCAAGCCCACACAAAGUGUUGGUGAUAUGUGUUAUUCGAUAUGUGUGGGUAAUAAUUGUUAUAUGUGUAGGUUAAGAUAAGAUAUAUGAAAUAUAUAAAACACAAUAAAUGAAAUAUAAAAUUUAACAACACAAAUUGUUAUUACUUUUAAUAAGGAGUUAACGAUAUAUAAAACUUCUUUUGGAAUGGAAGUAUGUAGCACCCAAAGUCAGAAAGGCCAAGAAAGGAAAGGAAACCCUAAGUUUAAGGGACGACUCAGCAAGUCCAAGGAGGUACUCGGCGAGUCCGAGCGGGAUCCGGGUCGAGGAGUAAAUGACCGACUCGGCGAGUCGGCCAAGGAGACUCGGUGAGUCUGGUCUGUACGAGGAAAUCCCUAAAUUCGGGACUUGGAGCCUAUUUAAGCGCCUCAUUCUCUUCUCUAGGGUUCCUCUACUGCCUCUCUAACCNCUCAACCCCACCCCCGCCCCGCCAUAUCCAUUGUUGAGCCAAUUAUUGCUUUGAAGAGUGCAUUAAAGCUUGGAGAAGGAAGAAGGACCUUGGAGGUGCAAGAAGGAGCUAUAGAUCUGGGCUUGGGAAGAUAUUUCUGAACAUUUGGAGGUAAUAAACUAGUUCUUGGACUCCUUUGCACCUAGAUCUAUGUGUGAGUUUUGGGGCUUUUGGCCAUGAUUGGUACCCAUUUAAGUUAGAAGCCAGAUCUAAAGUUGCUACUUCGGAUAUAAGCAUAUUAUGGGCUUGUGAAGCAUAAAGUAUCAGCCCUUGAGUUGAUUAUGGAGCCUCUUUGCAUUAAACCCUAUUUUAUGGUGUGUCUAGCCUAGAUCUCCUUCUCUACACGUAAAGUUUGCAACUUUACGUGAGGAAUAGGCUUGGGAAGGGUAGAUCUACAGUUUGGGGUCCAUGCAUGACUCAAAAGUCCUCUACAUGUAUGUAGAUCUGAAUGGACUCGGCGAGUCCUUUGAGUGGACUCGGGGAGUAGCAUGAAGAUUAGGAGGAACUCAACGAGUGGGAUGAACAGCUCAUCGAGUCGGAUGAAGUUGGGCAGGAACUCGGCGAGUUGGAAGAACAACUCGGAGAGUCGGUUGAAGAUUGCCUUGGACUAGGUGAGUCUGUUCUUGGACUCGGCGAGUCAGGUCGCGAAACCCUAAACCCUUCGACUUGAGACUCGAAUCAGUGAGUCGAGUGGAGACUCGGUAAGUUGGACAGGUCAGGACUCGGAAAUCGGUAGACUCGGCGAGUCAUGGACUGACUCGGUGAGUCGAGUCGCGAUUGGAAGGACUUAGAGCAUAUGAACUCGGCGAGUCAAUAGGUAGACUCGGCGAGUAGGGUUGACCUGGAAGAUUGACUUUGAACAGGACUUUGACUUUGACCAGAGUUGACUUAGUUGACUGUUGGGGGUCAGUUAGUCUAAGUGUUUCAUUGAUAUUGGUAGCUCGGGGAGCUAGUGGAGCAGGAGUUCAGAGAGUUUCCGGGCAGCAUCCAGAAGGUUAUCAGCAUGUUCAGCAAGUGCAUGUGAGUUUCCCUUUGUGCCAAUGGGUCUACGGUCACAAUGUCGGCCCAUGUAGUUAUGAGUAGAAGACCCGGGGGUUAGCCCUAGGCACAGUAUGCUAGUAUGAUAUUCAGGACGAGGUCCAAUGAUAGCGGGCGGGUGCCCAAGGAAUGGUUUAUGUGAUAGUUUAUACUUGUUGUAUGUGUGAUACUUGUAUGUGUCUGGUAGGGAGGUGAGUGUGGGCGAGGUCCCGUAUCUCACCAAUAGCAGAGUGUGGAUGGUGUUCCACAUCUCAGUAGCAGCAGAGCAGGGGCGAGGCCCAAGUUAGGGAAGGAGUGAGGGUGGGCUGGGCCCGUACCUCACUAUCAGCAGGAGUAUGGACGGGGUUCCAUGACUCAUCAGUAGCAGGACAAGGGCGGGGCCCAGAGAUAGGCGAGGCCUUAGGACAAGAUCCGUUAGUAUGUGUUUAGCUUAUGUGAUGUGAUGUGAUAUGUUUAUGUGCUAUUAUAUGUUAGUGGGCGAGGCCCUGUGACAGGCGAGGCCUAAGUGAAACAGAUCUGUAUCCGAGCGGGGCUCGAAGCCAGGCGGGGCCUGGAGCGGCGGGGCCGUUGUAGCGGGCGAGGCCCGAGGUAGGGGGGGAGGCCCAGGAUAGCGGGCGUGGCCCAGCGUGUGCAGUAUGUGGUUAUGCAUGGUAUGUGGUAGGGUGGGGAACUCACUAAGCUUCGUGCUUACGGUUUUCAGUUUUGGUUUCAGGUACUUCCGGUAGCGGAGGGAAGAGCUCGGGGGUGAUCGCAUGGCACACACCAUAGAUUAGACAGUCUGGGAAUGUUUUACUCUGACAAUGAACAUGUGUUUUGGAAAAUUAAUACUCUGAUUAUGUUUUGAAUUGGUGACCUUGCUUAAAGAAAUCUUUUAUUAAAAGAAAUUUUUAGUCAUGAAUUUUGGGACGUUACAAGUUGGUAUCAGAGCCUUGGUUUGAGGGAUUCGGGCAUACUCUCGGGUGUGCCUGAACUCAAACUAAGGGGUCGGAUAAAAAGUUUUCAAAAUGAAAAGACAGUUUUCUAAAAAGAGAGUUUUGGGAAAGAAAACAGUUUUAGAAAAGCAAAAAGAAUUCAGAAAGAAAAGAACUUUGAAAAGAAAAAAAUGGUGUGGUGCAUGCAAUCAGCUGGUCUUAAGUAAGUACCCCAAAUUACCCAUACAAGUUUAUGUUAUGAUUAUCAGUUAGUAGAACAGCAUGCUAGAUUAGGACUAAGGAUCUAGGGAGGAUGCCUUAUGUGCCUAUUAUAUGUGCUUUGAGUUGCAUGAUAGUGUUGAUUAGACAGUGGUAGGAUAGCCUGUUUAGGUUAUGCCUGAGUAUAUGAGUUUGUGUUGCAUGCUAGUUCAGAUUCUUGCUAUGUGGAUAUGAUUGCUUAUGUAUGUUAUGGUUAGAUUUUCCCCUUGUCUGAAUGCUGCCUGCUUUGUGCAAUAUGGGAUUCCGAGUGAUGGGAGUAACCAUUAGGUGGAUACGUCACGUCACAUGUGAUCAGGGUUGAAUAAUCUCAGAGUGCUAAAUUUGGCCCUAUUUCGCAGCUCUCGUUUGAGUCCAACCAUUGUAGGGAUGAGUCUUUUACUCGAAGAAUUAUCUGAGCCUUGUCACAUGUGAUGGUGUCCAGUUGAUGGCCAAUUGGCAUCACAAGGAGUCCUUCAGCAGCUGAGGCCUGGUUUGGUGUGAGUCAGAGGUUUCCUUAGGGUAAGCCUAGGAUGAGAUAGUGUUGGGAGCAGUAGUAGUGGAUAAGGGACCUGGUGGAGUCGAAGCAAUUCCNGAGGAAAGUACAGAUAGAUAUGGAUGGUAGUAUGGGCCCGUACUACUGAAAGCAGAGGAUCCGUACUCGAUUCGGGAAAGGCUGAGACAAGACCGAGAACCUAGUAGGGUGAGUGUGUGUCUGGUCUCACAGCAGUGAUAAGUAUUCUGAUAGAGGAUGUAUUAUAUAUUCAGCAUGGUGACAUUGCGAGAGAGACCAGUGGGUGGACCAGGCGCCGGAGAGGGAUCGCUCGGGGUCNAGCAGCUCGAGGAGCGGAUGAGGGAGUUGAUAUCAGCUGAGGUUACGCGCAGUAUUCUAGAUCAGACUCCUGUGAUCUUUGGCACGGUCAAGGAGGGUAUAUUGGAGAUUUUGGAUGAGAGGCUGGGAGCCUUCCGUACCGAGAUGAUGGCAUUGAUGGGAGCACGUACCUUGACAUUUCGAGAGUUCAGGGCUUGCGGGGCACCAGAUUAUCAUGGGGCUAGGGACCCCAUCGCUAGCAGCAGAUGGUUGGUUGAUGUUGCCAAUGCAUUCCGUACGAGCCGGUGUCCUGAGGGGGACAAGGUUAGGCUCGCUUCUUGUCUUCUGAAGAACAGAGCAAGGGAUUGGUGGGAGGAGAUUAGUCAUGCCUUGGGGGAUGAUGUCGCGUUGGAUGCGAUGACUUUGAGCGAUUUCUCGUCCAGGUUCAGGGCGGAGUUUUCGCCGAUUAUUGAGGUGCAGCAGUUGCCACAGGAGUUUCAGGAUUUGACGCAGACCACUGAGACUGUGGCGGAGAUCACCGCCAAGGUCAGGGAGAGGGCUCUUCUUGUACCGCAGUGUGUCGCGGAUGAGGAGAUGAAGAAGGCCCGAUACCAUGAGAUGUUGAGGGAUGAUAUCAGGGUGUUCGUGAUCAGGUCCAGCUGUAAGACGCUAGAAGAUAUGAUUUCUCGAGCUAGAGAGAGGGAAAUUGAUUUGGAGCAGAUCCGGAAGAGGAAGCCGGAUGAGGUUUAGGUAGCCACAGGUUCGGGCAAAAGGCCUAAGGGAUCAGAUUCGAGAUCGAGGGAUUAUCAGGACCGCAGUCGGUGCGGGAAGUGUGGCAGGGCGCACAGGGGUGCGUGUAGGAGUGGUAGCGGUGGUGAUUCUGGCUGCUUCAAGUGCGGUCGGACUGGUCAUUUCAGUAGAGAUUAUACUGUUACCACCACACAGGGAUCAGACUUGAUAUGUUUUCACUGCAAUCAGCGGGGCCACAAGAAGGCCCAGUGCCCCAGUUUGUUUUCAAUAGGACGGGUGAUGACACUUGCCCCUGCAACUUUGAGGAUCACAGACGGCCGUCAGGGCCGUGCAGAGGCGCCUGCGGUAGGAGGCAGGUCUUUUCAGAUGACUACCUUGGAGGCGCGAGCAGCACCGGACGUUGUAGGUAUGCGAUUUUGUUUUCAGUUCUUUUAUUUGUGCAUGAUUAUAUUGUUAUGGUUCUGGAUCAUCAUUGGUUUGAGUAUUUUAUUUUUUGAGCGGUUGAUUGUGAUCGAGUUAUAUGCCAUCUUAAUACCUUGGAUAUUUGAAUGGUAGUUAGGAGAUGUGCUCUAUUAGAGAAGGUUUCAUAGGAUGCAGUAAUUGUAGCAUGCCUGGGAGGGACUUGGUAUGUCUCGCUAGAUCGGAGUUGUAUAAUGUUAGAGAUGGAUUGGUUAGAUCCCUAGCUAUGGUGAGCUUGGGUUCCUCAGCAGCUUGAUUAUGGAAUGGUAGCAAGGAUUGGGAUUCUUUUGAGUAUUGAGCAGCAAGGGGUAAGCAGGAUCGAAGUGGGGGAGAAUCCUCCGAGUGUGCAAAGGUAGGAUCACGCAGACCCAAAAUGAGUGCGCGACCUCCGAGAAGGAAAAGAAGUAGUUCAGCGUUUGAUGGAUUGAGGAUUUCAGGGUUGGGAUUUUGAGAAACUCCCCAUCAGCUAGUGCGUGUGAUGGUGAUGGUUAGUAUGUGGUUGGGAAUUCAGGUUGUGGAUCGCCCGUAGGACUCGAGGGAGUCGGAAUGAGGAUCUUGAGAGCUAAUGGCACAUGGGUGCCUUCGUAUUAGCAGUCAGUGGUAGAAAGUGAUGUAAGACUACGGGGCAGCCGUAGCAUUCACUAACAGUUAGUGGUAGAAAGUGAUGUAAGACUACGGGGCAACUAUAACACUCACUAGUAGUCAGUGGUGGAAGUGUUGUAAGACUACGGGGCAACCAUAGCAUUCACUAGCAGUCAGUGAUGGAUGGUGAUGUAAGACUACUAGUAAGCCGUAGCAUUCCUUAGUAGCUUCGUUAGCGGAGUUGGGGCGAGGCCCUUAUCUCCUAGCGAUCAGAUAGGGAUCAGGAAUGGGUAGUGGAUGAAAGUGAUAGGAAGUUUGCUUGUAUAGCCCUAGAGAGGUGAGACCUUGGGAGAGGCCGCUCCAGGAUAUAGUUGGGUGAGGCCUGUGGGCGAGGCCCGUAUGAGAGUAGCGGUAUAGGUGAGACCUGAGAGUAGGGUUGCUCAGUAGUAUGGCCGGGUGAGACCCGUAGGCGAGGCCCGAGAGAGAGUGGUUAGACAAGUAGGACUAGAAGGAUAGAGGCGGGGGGGACCCGUGGGCGAGGCCCGUGUGUUUUAGCGGCAUAGGGGGGACCUGGUAAGGACCUUAGUGUCAAGAUAAGGGAUCGGGGAUCCAUGGAUUGUAGUGACUGAAUGGCAGAAUAGAUUGCGCAGUUAUAGGUGGUCAAAGUUCCUUCGAAAGUCGCUGGGAGCGACUAGGAGUAGUGUUGGGACUAGCGACCGGUGGGAUCCGGUAAUCCAGAUAUUGGUAGGACGGUAGGGAUUAGGGUGGUCUCAGUUCAUCCGGAAGGCAGAUAAGGAAUAGCAGAAUUUUCAGUCAGUAGUAGUGCGGGUAAGCAGUGUAUGGUGGAAUUCAGUUAGUUGUAUCGAGGGGUGCUCGACACCAAGUUUUGACAGAGAGGAGUGUCAGUGGUUACUGGCGGUGAUGACCUGUACUGGAAGUAGCGGGGGUGAUGGAGUUGGCGAAGGAUAUGACCUUCACAGUGACAGAGGAAAUAGUUGGUUAUGGAGCAUUGCCUUGGGAAGGCAAGGAAUUCGCACAAGGAAAGAAGGGGUGAACCCCUAUAGGUUCAGUACAGUACUCGGUGAGUACCGGAAGGAUUGUCGGUUGAGUAAGUUGUGUUUCCAGGAUGUUCAGGGUCAGGGUGACCUGAGUCUAUUAUCCGCAAGGAAUGAUGUUAGUCAGAAUGACCGGGCGGAAGACCAGCGAAGGUAGGCAGCUGGUGUUGGAAUGAUUAGUUGGGUAUUGAAAGCAUAUCGCAGGCAGUGGCCCAUAGCAAACUUCGAGGAUGAAGUUUAGUUUAAGUGGGGGAGAGUUGUAACACCCAAAGUCAGAAAGGCCAAGAAAGGAAAGGAAACCCUAAGUCUAAGGGAUGACUCAGUAAGUCCAAGGAGGAACUCGGCGAGUCCGAGCGGGAUCCGGGUCGAGGAAUAAGUGAACGACUCGGCGAGUCGGCCAAGGAGACUCGGUGAGUCUGGUCUGUACGAGGAAAUCCCUAAAUUUGGGACUUGGAGCCUAUUUAAGCGCCUCAUUCUCUUCCCUAGGGUUCCUCUACUGCCUCUCUAACCCAGAACACCAAACCCUAGCCGCCAUAUCCGUUGUUGAGCCAAUUAUUGCUUUGAAGAGUGCAUUAAAGCUUGGAGAAGGAAGAAGGGCCUUGGAGGUGCAAGAAGGAGCUAUAGAUCUGGGCUUGGGAAGAUAUUUCUGAACAUUUAAAGGUAAUAAACUAGUUCUUGGAAUCCUUUGCACCAAGAUCUAUGUUGAGUUUUGGGGCUUUUGGCCAUGAUUGGUAUCCAUUUGAGUUAGAAGCCAGAUCUAAAGUUGGAACUUCGGAUCUAAGCAUAUUUUGGCCUUGUGAAGCAUAAAGUAUCAGCCCUUGAGUUGAUUAUGGAGCCUCUUUGCAUUAAACCCUAUUUUAUGGUGUGUUUAGCCUAGAUCUCCUUCUCUACACGUAAAGUUUGCAACUUUACGUGAGGAAUAGGCUUGGGAAGGGUAGAUCUACAGUUUGGGGUCCAUGCAUGACUCAAAAGUCCUCUACAUGUAUGUAGAUCUGAAUGGACUCGACGAUUCCUUUGAGUGGACUCGGCGAGUAGCAUGAAGAUUAGGAGGAAUUUGACGAGUGGGAUAAACAGCUCGUCGAGUCAGAUGAAGUUGGGCAGGAACUCGGCGAGUUGGAAGAACAACUCGGCGAGUCAGUUGAAGAUUGCCUUGGACUUGGCGAGUCUGUUCUUGGACUCGGCGAUUCAGGUCACGAAACCCCAAACCCUUCGAGUUGAGACUCGAAUCAGUGAGUCGAGUGGAGACUCGGUGAGUUGGACAGGUCAGGACUCGGAAAUCGGUAGACUCGGCGAGUCGAGUCGCGAUUGGAAGGACUUUGAGCAUAUGAACUCGGCGAGUCAAUAGGUAGACUCGGCGAGUAGGGUUGACCUAGAAGAUUGACUUUGACCAGGACUUUGACUUUGACCAGAGUUGACUUAGUUGACUGUUGGGGGUCAGUUAGUCUAAGUGUUUCAUUGAUAUUGGUAGCUCGGGGAGCUAGUGGAGCAGGAGUUCAGAGAGUUUCUGGGCAGCAUCCAGAAGGUUAUCAGCAUGUUCAGCAAGUGCAUGUGAGUUUCCCUUUGUGCCAAUGGGUCUACGGUCACAAUGUCGGCCCAUGUAGUUAUGAGUAGNGGAAGGUUGACUUUGACCAGGACUUUGACUUUGACCAGAGUUGACUUAGUUGACUGUUGGGGGUCAGUUAGUCUAAGUGUUUCAUUGAUAUUGGUAGCUCGGGGAGCUAGUGGAGCAGGAGUUCAGAGAGUUUCUGGGCAGCAUCCAGAAGGUUAUCAGCAUGUUCAGCAAGUGCAUGUGAGUUUCCCUUUGUGCCAAUGGGUCUACGGUCACAAUGUCGGCCCAUGUAGUUAUGAGUAGAAGACCCGGGGGUUAGCCCUAGGCACAGUAUGCUAGUAUGAUAUUCGGGACGAGGUCCAAUGAUAGAGGGCGGGUGCCCAAGGAAUGGUUUAUGUGAUAGUUUAUACUUGUUGUCUGUGUGAUACUUGUAUGUGCCUGGUAGGGAGGUGAGUGUGGGCGAGGUCCCGUAUCUCACCAAUAGCAGAGUGUGGAUGGUGUUCCACAUCUCAGUAGCAGCAGAUCAGGGGCGAGGCCCAAGUUAGGGAAGGAGUGAGGGUGGGCUGGGCCCGUACCUCACUAUCAGCAGGAGUAUGGACGGGGUUCCAUGACUCAUCAGUAGCAGGACAAGGGCGGGGCCCAGAGAUAGGCGAGGCCUUAGGACAAGAUCCGUUAGUAUGUGUUUAGCUUAGGUUAUGUGAUGUGAUAUGUUUAUGUGCUAUUAUAUGUUAGUGGGCGAGGCCCUGUGACAGGCGAGGCCUAAGUGAAACAGAUCUGUAUCCGAGCGGGGCUCGAAGCCAGGCGGGGCCUGGAACGGUGAGGCCGUUAUAGCGGGCGAGGCCCGAGGUAGGGGCGAGGCCCAGGUUAGCGGGCGUGGCCCAGUAUGUGCAGUAUAUGGUUAUGCAUGGUAUGUGGUAGGGUGGGGAACUCACUAAGCUUCGUGCUUACGGUUUUCAGUUUUGGUUUCAGGUACUUCCGGUAGCGGAGGGAAGAGCUCGGGGGUGAUCGCAUGACACACACCAUAGAUUAGACAACCUGGGAAUGUUUUACUCUGAUAAUGAACAUGUGUUUUGGAAAAUUAAUACUCUGAUUAUGUUUUGAAUUGGUGACCUUGCUUAAAGAAAUGUUUUAUUAAAAGAAAUUUUUAGUCAUGAAUUUUGGGACGUUACAAAGUACAUUAAUCCUUGGUACAAAUAUUACAUCAACAAAAGUUAUCUCUAAGCUUUCAUGAAAUUGAAGACCUUAUGCCUAACACAACCAUUGUAUCUAGAUAAGAUUUUCCUACUUAUUUACUUUGUUGUGUGCAAAUAUUAAUACACUUGACUUAAGCAUCACCAACAUUUGGACAUAAUUGUUGACGUUGAGGUGGUUGGUUAGAGCAUUAGUCAACUUUAAUAUUCAAGUGAAGACGUAUCAAAUACAAGUGAUUGUAGUUCACUCCUAUAGCAACAAGAGGAGCAGAGGCUUUAAGUAGUUUAUCCAUUUCAACAUGAAACUCUUUUCACACAUGAACGAUCUUAUGACACCUGUCAAAUGCCUCUUAAAAUAUACAAUCAACACUUGGUCAGUAGCUUUCUUCUCUGUGGCCAGAACCAUGACCUCUUCAUUUCCCUAUAUUAAUGAUGACAGGUUCAUAAACUAAAAGGACUGUAAAGUCAAAAUAGUUGACAUUAUGUUGACAUACCUAGUGGUGUGAAGAGAAGAAUAAAUAGAAUGUUUGUAAUAAACCCGCUUUCUUGGGUGAGGAAACCAUGACACUUGUUCAGAAAUGAAACAUCCCAACUAGCACCUAACGACUUUUGCUACAUUGAGAUAUACUAGCAAACAACAUAAGCAAAUCACAUGGAAAAUUAUUACAAUUAAUAAAACUCAUAAAUAAAGUGGUAAAAACAGCCUUGCACACACUCUUGAUUAAAAAAAUAGUUUAUAUUAGUGUAACAUCCCGAUUUCUCGAUAUCAGUUUAAAGUUCUAGAGUCAUGUUUCAAAGACAACUCGACGAGUUGAUAGGCCAACUCGUUGAGUAGUGACCAAAUCAGCCAUGUGGAUUUUAGACCCUACUCGUCGAGUUGGAGGACCCGACUCGACGAGUAGGUGCUGGAAAGUGAAAACCAUAAUUUUUAGGGUUUGCACCCUAUUUAAAGGUCCUUAACUUUCCUCCUCAGCCUCCCUUGUCACCUUCACGUCCAAAAAAACCAACUAGUCUCUAUUCUUGAGUGUGUGAGACCAAAAGAGAGUGUAUUGGAGCAUUCUUAAGGAGUUAAGAGCUUUGAACAAGGGAUAGCUUGUAGAUCCAACUUUUCCAGUGUUGUGACAACAAUAUUGAGUUAUAAAGCUACCACCUUUAUAUUUCAUUGCUUAGAUCUUCCUUUUUGGUAAAGUAAUUGUCAUGUCUAGGGCAUGAUGGGGUCACACUCGGAUUUAAGCUUGCCACAAGGGCAUAGUUUUAGAACUUGACUUCUUAAGGCCUUAUGAACAUAAAUCCUUAAGCUUUAUGAAGCCCUAGCCCUCCUUCAUGUCCAAAACCUUCUCCUAAUGCUAAUUAUGAGUGUUUUAGCUUCAUAGAACCAUGCAUGCAUGUAAAGUUAGCAACUUUAUGUGAUAACAACACCCUAGGAGCAUAGAUCUACUGUUUGGAGCUUUGGAGCAGCUUAAAAUAGUCUGAAUGAGUGAUGGACUGAAGGAGACUCGACGAGUUUCAUGGUUGAAUCGAAGAGUCGGUUGAAGAUUGCCCAUAAUGGUUUUGCAUGGACUCGGCAAGUCAGUAAGAAGACUCGACGAGUCAGUUAGGGUUCUUCCUGACAUUUAGACACGCGUAGACUCGCCGAGUUGGUGGGGAAACUCUGCGAGUUGGCCCAGGGAUUUCACGGUUUUCUGAGUUUUGGAGGAACUCGAUAGGUCAGUAGUUGGACUCGACGAGUUGGGUCAACAUGGACUGUUGACCUUGACUGUUGACUUGGAGUUUGACCAGGGUUAACCAUGUUUGACUUUGGAGGGUAUUUGGUAAAUGGGUAUUUAAGGAAAUGGAUCAUGGGUGGAUAUAGGUAAUGGAGUUUGGGGCAGUAUUUUGAGAGCGUGAUUUCGUGGUUUAGUUCGGCAUUGCAAGGUGAGUUAUCCUCACUAUAUCAACAGGGUCUAAGGCACCAAGGUCAGCCCUUUAUCUGAUUUGUAUUCGGGUAUUUGCUUGAUAUGUUUUUUGAUCUGCUAGAUCUGCAUCCUGGUAGUUAGGAUGGUAUUAUGUUUAGUGACCUGGUUUAGGUCAGUAUCCUGGUAUAUGGGAUGAUGUUAUGUUAGUGACCGGUUAGGUCGGUAUCCUGGUUAUAGGACGGUUGUUGUGUUAGUAAUCAGUUAGUUUGGUAUGAUUAUCUGUUGUAUACAUGCUCGCGUAUAAUAUUUAUGUGCACAUGAUUGUUUGAUUGUUAUGGGGGUUGGGUUGAGGCGGGUCCUGCUUCGUGUUGUAGGCCAACAUACCCAUGGCGGACCGGAAAGACUACAGGCCCAGGAAGGCACAUUGUCCAACCAAUGGCCCAACGAGCGGUCCGGAUAGGCUGAAGGCCCCGAGAGGGUGGUCCAAACGUGCCGAGGCUCGGAGAGUGGGCCAGGUGGACUGAAGGCCCGGUGCGGGCGGUCCAGUCAUACUGUAGACUCAAAGAGUGGACCAGGUGGACUGAAGACCCAGUGCGGGUGGACCAGUCACACAGUAGACUCGGGAUGCAUGGCUGUUCAGUGUUUGUUAUAUGAUAUGAUUAUGGAUUGUAUGAGGUUGGUAUUUUGGGGGUAACUCACUAAGCCUUCGAGCUUACGUUUAUCAAUUUAUGUUUCAGGUACAACGAAUUAACCCAGGAAGACGAAUGUGUGAUCGUACACUUCCCCAUAAUAUGUUUUGGAUUUUCUGGGAUACUCUGAUGUGAAACUAUUUUGGAAACCUUUUUGUAAUAACUAUUGGCAUUUGAAAUGUUUUUAAAAGUUUAAAUUUGGCUUGGAUUUUAUGGGUGUUACAAUUAUUUCAAUUAUCCAAGACGAUUUUAUGUCGAGAUUUUAAGUUAACAUUAAAUCUCAAUUAUUUGUUUGAAUGAUUUUUUUCUUUUAUCUUAGAGAUUUGUUUGAAAUUUAUUAAUUUUUUUUAUAAAUUUGAAUUAAUCAAAGACACAUAUAAAAAUAUCUCAUCAAAUCAAAUAAAUUUAAUAUAUAAAAAAGAUAGUAUCCGAUUAAGUCAAUCUAAAAAUACCAACAUAUAAAUAUAACUCACAAAUCUUGAUGGGAAUAAGAAUCAAACUCAAAAUCAAUCAAAUAAAAAAACCUUUGAUUUGUGUUAUAAGUAUAAAAUAAAUCAGGAUUCCAAAUAAAUAUUACAAUGAAAAAAAACCUAAAAUGUUUGAAACAAAAUAUGAAAUUCGCCAUCACUGUCAAUUUAAAAAAAAAACCUUUAUUAAUACUAAUGGGCUAUUUGGUAGCAUCCUGAUGAAUCAUAUCUGAAUGAUCUAGAUGCCUGGAUGAUCUAGAUGCUCUUUAGGAAUUUCUAUCGGAAUGAUAAAAUAAUGUUUGGUUAGGCAUCUAAAUAUCUGCCUCUUAAUGAGGAAAAUAACCAUUUUAGCCCUCUAAAUUAUUUUUUGAAUACAAAAUAAACAUUAUACAAUAUCCAACAAAUCGGUUAAAACAAAUUGGCUUUUGAUAUUCAGAUUCAUGUGUUUCUUCAUCAACAAUCUCUUUGAAGAGGACUCGUUUUGUUUCUGUUUUUAGAUCAUUAGGCUUUCUUGCUUCUGGAACAUUGAUGGGCCUAUUUUCUUGCUGAAUAUCUUCCAUCACUAGCAACUUCAUCUUGCUCCUAGAUCACAUAUCAACUAAACAAGUUGAAAAAUAACCAAACACAUAUUUUCAUAUAGAACAUUUCAAGCAAACACAAACACAUUUUCAAAAAAAAAAAAACAAAUCAAUUGUUAUUUUCAGAUUUCCAAAGGACAAAAACAACAUCAACUGAACACAUAUAUAGAGCAAGAAGAACAAAGCACAAAAAUCGAUUUCAUACAAAAUCGAGCAGCAAGAACACGAUUGACACCAAUUUCAUGCAAAAUUGCUCAACAAUAACACGAUUGAAGCAACAGAUUCGAGAAAAAAAACCAUACCUGAAAACUUACCGACGACGAGUAGGCGGAGAAGUAGGAGCGUUGUCGAAGGCAUGCAAGGGGAGGCGGCGACGGAGCCAAUAAUUGGAAGUUGUCAACGCUUAAUGAAGAUAAAGAAUGAGGGAUGAAAGGUCGAUCUCUAGAAAGAAGGAGAAGAAAAAAGAGUCGGCCGCAAUUUGUUGUUAGGGCAAUGGUAGAAGAUGAAAAUUUUUUUAUUCAGACUUCUCCUCAUAUCUUAACGAAUCAGAUUAGUUUUAGCUACAUCUGACCGAUUAAGAGCGUAAAAAUGUUUCAACCAAACACUCUGAAUCUUAAUGAUCCAAAUGCAACCUCUUAAUGAGACCAUUAAGAGGCAAAACAAACAGCCCCUAAAUAAAAAAAACAAUAUAGUUUCCAUAAAAAUCGAUUUAAAUAUUAAAGAAGAGAAGAAAUCAGCAUUUAUACGACGUAAUAGUUUUUUAAAAUUAAAAAAAAAAAAUUAUUCAUAUUAUAAGUAUAAAAUACAUUUUAUUCUUAACUCUCAUUUGUAAUUUGCCAUAUGUUUUCAUAAGAGUUUAUGGUAAUAACUUAAAUUUUUAUUUUUCCAUAUACCAUUUUUCAUUUACAAAAUUGUUUGUGCUUAUUUUUUUUUGUUAUAUUAAAAUUUAUUAUAUUUUAUUAUAUAAUAUAUAUCAUAAUUUUUUUCAUUAAUUUACAUAUAUCUUAUUUUUACGUGUUUAUUUGAAACAAUCGUUAUAAUGCAAAAUAAAUACCACUUCUCCAUAUUAAUUAUUAAUUUUUAUUAAAAUACUUUAUUAAUUAUUAUAAUUUUUAUCUAUUGAUAUUCGUUUAAUUUUGUAAGUUUUAUUUUCACAAAGUAUAACCUAAUUAAUUUCUCAUCAUCUAUAGUAAAUGAAAGUUUUUUUUUUCACAUGCAAUCACUAAUUAAUUUUGACACUUGUCAUUUUAUAAUAUUUUUUAAAUAAAUAAUAUCCACAUAUCAAUUUAUGAUUUUUNNNNNNNNNNNNNNNNNNNNNNNNNNNNNNNNNNNNNNNNNNNNNNNNNNNNNNNNNNNNNNNNNNNNNNNNNNNNNNNNNNNNNNNNNNNNNNNNNNNNNNNNNNNNNNNNNNNNNNNNNNNNNNNNNNNNNNNNNNNNNNNNNNNNNNNNNNNNNNNNNNNNNNNNNNNNNNNNNNAUCAAAUGUAAUAAAUAUUAUUUUAAAAUUUCAUUUUAAAAAAUAUUUAUUAUUACAUUUUAAUAUUUUAUAUUCUUUAAUCAACCGUGUAAUACAUUUUAAUACAUAGAUUUUCCAUCUAAUAAAUAAAUAAAAUGUAACCAUUUUAAUCACUAAAUAAUUAAUCAACCAAAGAUUAAAACCCACUGAUAAAAAGGAAACUAAAUCAACACCAAAUUGAAAAUUAAACCAUAUAUUACUAAAUUAAUUCACAGAGAGUUCGACAUCAAUCAAAUAUUAUCUCGCACUCAAAUUCACAAAACUCACUUUCCAGGUACAAAGUUUGUAGCAUAUGACCAUGCAUUGUUUGCAACAGGGUCAGCAAGGUGGUCAGCGAGGUUCUCCAAUGGUCCCUUUCCGGUAACAAUGGCUUGAACAAAGAAUCCAAACAUAGAGAACAUGGCUAGUCUACCGUUCUUGAGCUCCUUCACUUUCAGCUCAGCAAAUGCCUCUGGGUCAUCAGCCAGACCCAAUGGGUCGAAGCUACCACCAGGGUAAAGUGGGUCAACUACCUCACCAAGAGGUCCACCAGCAAUUCUGUAACCUUCAACUGCACCCAUCAAGAUCACUUGGGUAGCCCAGAUGGCUAAAAUGCUUUGUGCAUGGAUCAAACUUGGGUUCCCCAAGUAGUCAAGACCACCCUCACUAAAGAUCUGGGAUCCAGCCUUGAACCAUACAGCCUCACCAAACUUGACACCAUUACGCGCCAAGAGUUCGGGGAAGACGCACCCAAGAGCUCCGAGCAUGGCCCAUCUGCUGUGGAUGACCUCAAGCUCACGGUUCUUGGCGAAUGUUUCAGGAUCAGCAGAGAGCCCAGCAGUGUCCCAACCGUAGUCACCGGGGAACUCACCGGUCAGGUAAGAUGGGGCUUCGCCGGAGAAUGGGCCAAGGUACUUAACACGGUCGGGGCCGUACCAUGGACUUCCUGAUGGUGCGACUUUCUUGACUGCUGUCUUCCUCAUGGAAACCCUUCCAUUUCCGAUUAUUUCUGAACCAGAUGGUGCUGCUUUCACUGCCUGUCCGACGAAAGAAGAAGAUAGAGCCAUGGUGGAAGCUGCCAUUUUUGUGAGAUUUAUUUUGAAGAUGUUGUGAUGGUUAUACUUAUGAAGAUGGGUAGAACUGGAAGUAGAUUUAUAGGGUAGUUUUUGGAUCAGAUAGGUGAUCAAUGCUUAUCUUGAUACAAUCUUUAGCUUCAAUUUGAUUGGCUACAGAGAUUCUUGUGGGUCCGUAAUCUGUGGUGUGAGUUCUCUGGCCCCCCUGAGAUAUUUUGAAGGGGCAGGAUAUUCGUGGCUCUGGUUUAUUGAGCCAAUGACUGGCUUUCACUCACUACUCUUAGUGGUGGUUUUUUAUAAUAUGCUGUAAGCUUGUAACCAUCCAAUCGUCUAAGUUUAUAACUGACCUAUUAUUACAAAUAUAUACUAACCAGGCAAAACUUUUGGUUAUAAAAGUUAAUGUGACCGAGAGACUAACACAAAAAAUUAUAACAGGAGUAGUUAAUAAUCCGCGAUUUACCGCUAUGCCGAGAGCCGUAGGGAGGAUCCACCAUUUACCCCUAAGUGUGCAGAAUGCCUUUUUUUUUUUAGUAUUAAAAUAUCAAGAUCGGACACGCGUUGUAAAAUUCUUGUUCGAAUUGUUUGCAAACUCUUCGUCACAAUAAGGGGAGUUUAAAUAUGCGUUUUAAUAUAAUAACAUUGGCAUUGAUUAAAUGUUAAUAUUCAAUUAUCAUCCCACAUGAGAAUGAAAUAUAUUAAUGAUUUAUUAAUCUAAAAACAUUAUCAUCCCACAUGAGAAUGAAAUAUAUUAAUGAUUUAUUAAUCUAAAAACAAUUUUUUUAUGUCAUUAUUUUUUGGGGUUACAGUCGAGCUUGGAGGAUCUCGACUUUAGGUAUGCCCAUUUUAUUGAGAGGAAUUACUAAUAAAUUUCGGAAAGAGGAAAAAAAUAUGAUCGUGGACAUAUGGUUUAGGAAUAUUUUCAUGUUCGUUUGACACAAGUAAAGUUCUUGAAAUGGGUGCUUCAGUUUGUACGAGCGGCUAACUUGAUAAAGUUCAAAGACAUAAAGGCAAUUUUCAAAAACUCACAUGAUCAGUUAUCGAACAAGCAUGUCGUACUAGUGUGCCCACUACACAUGUUAGUUAGCGGUUUCAAUAGGAAAAGAGCAUCAUUAGCUGUCAAUGAUAAUAUUCUUUCUCUAGUACUCGAUCCUUACGACUUUUAUAUUUAUAUCAUGUAAUUUAGAAUUUAAUUUAAUUUCUAUUAAUCUUCGAUUACAGUUUAUGUGAUCUAAUUCAUGGAUGUUUUGGCACUACAUAUCUCAAUGGAGUAUGCCAGGGAAAUUUUGGUCAUAACAACAGCCUCCAUGGGUUUAUAUAUAUUUUUAAGGUACAUAUAACAUCCUAUUUUUAGGCUUAGAAAUUUUGGUCAUUUAUAGUGAAAAUAAUUUUUUUUAAUAAAAAAAUAAAAAAGGAAAAAUAAAAAUAAAAAGAAUGACUGAAUGAAUACAUGAGCUAAUAAAAGGUUUAGAUCAAAUGUUUAAAGAAAAUAGCGAAUUUAUACUUAAAAUAGGAAAUAAAUAAGGAAGGGUCAGUGGUGGCAACUUUGGAAAACUUGUUUAAUUUAGAUCUAACUAGACAAUUUAUUUGUAAAGAGUUAAAAAUGUAACGAAAUGAUACUUAUAAGCUUAAGAGGGAGUUUUUCAGUUGGAAAUGUUGUUAGAAACCCUUAUUGGAAAAAAUUAGGACAAAAGGACUAAAAUUGUCAAGUUGAUGAAACUUGUGUUAACCUUAAUGUAACGACCCUAAAAUCUUAAAUUAUGUGUUUAAUUACUUUGUAUCAUUUUGUUGAAAAAUGAACAUUAAUGAUGCAAUAAUCAAUUUGUUAGUAAAUUUCAUUGUAUAUCCUUACAUUUAUCAUGUUAUAAUCGAAAAUAUAGGACAUUUCAGCAAAAAAUAACCCUGUAGGAAAGUCGCAUUACACCUCGAUAUAUUCGUGUGGAUAUAAAUUCUAUGAAAAUCCAAAUUUGUAUGACGAAGUUAUAGUCAAUAUAAGUUGGAAGUACAAAUUUUAAUGUUUAAAUGUGUAUGUUNNNNNNNNNNNNNNNNNNNNNNNNNNNNNNNNNNNNNNNNNNNNNNNNNNNNNNNNNNNNNNNUAUAUAUAUAUAUAUAUAACAUCUCAAAACCAUAAUAACCAUAACAUAAAAUCAGAGUUUCAAAACAUAUUAUCUCUCUAAACCAUAACAAUCACUGGAUGAUGUGUAGAGUCACGUGUAACAUCUCGUUUAAAAUUAGAUAAAUAAAAUAAAAUAAGUAAAUAAAUUAGAUAAAAUAAGUAAAUAAAUAAUAAACCCUAAAACCUCAAGAUGAAUUUUAUAUUUUUAUGUUAGCCUUAAAUCCAUAAUAAUUAUCAGAGUAUUAGCGCAAUAAGUUAAAUGUUAUUAAUUCUGGAAAUAGGGGUUUAAAAUGUAAAUUUCGAACUAGUUAAGAAUAGAUUUGUGGAAGCUGGGGAUUGUUUGGUAAUUUGGACUUGAAUUGAAAGGAUUAUUGGAAACAGGUAUAGAGUAAAUUACAGAUUUAAUUUGUAAAGGAAUUGAGAUGGAGGGACUGAAAAUAUAAGAAAGGGACUAAUGUUUGAAGAGAUAGGCAUGACUUAAACCCAUUCCCCCUCCACCCUCUUGCUACUCGGUUGCACCCAUAUAAACCCUAACCCUAAUAUCUUCUCAGCCGCCACCUUAUCCCUCCAUAUCUCCAGUCGCUUCCAUCACCUGUGUCGCCGUCAUGAACCACUGAGCACCACUGCCGCUGCUCCCACUGCCGAUGAAAACGAAGAUCAACGUUUGGACACCGUGACAGUGGGGAAGUAGGAAGAAAGGAAGCUCGUGGUUGUUAUUGCUGUUAUUCUCGGUUAGGGGUCGCAAAACCUUUCUCUUCUCCGUUUCCUUUUGUUGCUACGUUGUCAUCGUCAUCGCUCCAUGUGAGGGUGGUUGUGUUUGUGUUUUGUGAGUGUAGGUGUGUGUUGCUGCUGUGGCAAGUUGGAGAGGUGUGUGUGUCUUUUGUUGGCCAGAAAAACGAAGAGAAUCACCAUGGCAACCAACCAUGGUGGUUUUCACCGUUCUGGAGCCACUAGCCACCACCCUAGGUGGCUGUGUGUGUUGGAUUGACAUUUCUUCUGUACCAGGAUGCUUUUGAUAGUGUUUGGCCUAAAAUUAUAACUACCACCAUUAAAAAGUGGUGGCUGUCGCCUCCUACCGCCAUGGACCGCCGCCGACCACCAAUGCCCGAGGUGGCAGUGGGUGGUGUCUGACUUACUAAACAUUAAAUAACCUAAACAUCUAACCUUAGACCGAGUGGUACGUGUUUGGGUUGGAAACUCUUACUAGGCUUUAGAAAAUCCUAAGGUCAAGAAAACCCUAGUUUUGGAGUUUUGUCGGGACCCGCGUUGAAGUGUUAAUUGAACUUUAAUUAUACUCGAUAAGGCCCUACGAUUAACUUAAUGCAGUAUUGAACUUAAUGAAUUAAGUCCUUAAGGGGUUAUGUGUGGAGCACUAACCCUAGUUAUCAUUUUAUGUGGAAACCCUAAAAAUCAAGAAGCCUUAUUUUCGGCAAUGAUCAGGGCACAUAUUUGGGAUAUUCCUUGGAUUAUUAUUAUACCCGAGAAUGAAUAUGUCAAACCUUAAUCACUCCUACUUUUAUUUGAUUAAGUCCUUAAUGGGUUAAGUGUCCUUACUUAACCCUAAUCGUCAUUUUAUGUGGAACCCUAAUCACUAUUUCAUGUGAGGUAGUCACUGCUGCAAUUGACGAUGACUUGUGAUCGAGUAUUGAAUCAAGUAUCUUCCUGUAGGUGAUUGGAAGUGAGUUGAAGCUGGUAGAGUUCUUCGUUACUACGGUGGUUACCUACUAGCAUAUCGAGCUGAGUUUCACCUCACUGUGUUAGAUCUAUAUGCACAAGAAUCAUUAUUCAGUGACAUUGCUAAUAACAUAUGAUCCUAUAAGGUCACACUUUAAUCAAGUUGGUACUUAUUGAAUAUUUAUUAAGUAUUUUAUAAUUAAUAAUAAAAGUUCAACUCAUGUAUUUAAUUAAAGAAAAUUUAUUGUUUUGUGAAAAUAAUAAUAAAUGAAAGACUAACUANAUAUAUAUAUAUAUAUAUAUAUAUAUAUAUAUAUAUAUAUAUAAGUCAUGUACAAAGUUUUGGACACUUUCACCAAAGAUUGACAAACUAGCUAGUUAAUUAAGUGACUAAACAAUAAACUAGAAAAUCCAAUGGACCAUUUUAGUCCUUAAAACCAUGGGUUAUCAAGGCGAGGAGGUUGAAAGUCAACCUCCAACAUUCUUGUCCCCCAUGUUUGUUCAUUACCUUGCAUGUAAUACACACCAUGAUCAUAUUAUAUAAGGCUAGUUGUUUUAUCACUAUAUGACUAGAAGAAAAAAAUCAUUUACACUUUCAUCCAUAGAAUUGUAGGUUCUCUUGGCUUCUCCCUAUCUCUCACUUGAAGUUAGUUCUUGGUUUUUUAGAGUUCGUCUUUUGUGUCUUCCUUUUACACUUAUUAUCUAUGUGCUUAAGGCUUAAAGAGAAAAAUAUUAUACAAGAAGAAAUCUAGCAAUUUUGGUACCUUAUUCUUGUUGGUGGAUUACUUGUAGAGAAGAUCAGACUUGUUGUUCUUGCCAUCUACUUCAACACCCCAAAUCUAAGAGGGUCCAAAGUCUACGAAGGUUGUAUUUUCUAAACUCCCUAUGGUUGUUAUAAUAUCAUUCUAAGCACUUUAAAAGGAUCCUUGAUGGUUUGUUUUGUUUUCAAAUUUAUAAGAAAUUUUUAAAGCUUCCGUUGCCAGUUUUUGUGAAAAACUAUUUAUUUUAUGCAACAAACCCCUUCAGUUGUAACACUAUAAAUUUUCAAACAAAAUUUCCAUUUUUAAAACACACAAAUCUUAAAAUCACAUUUCUCAAAAAUCACAAAUGUAUCAAUUGUAAGAAUAUCCCAGAACCCUCAAACAUAAUCUCGAACAGGUGUGUACAAUCAAGUCGGCGCCUUACCGUGAUUCUGAGAAGUACCUGAAACACAUAACACACAACAUAGUAAAAACGAAGCUUAGUGAGUUCCCCAAAAUACCACAUACACAAAUAAUAAGCCACUCAUAGCUAUAGCUCGGCAUGGACCUUCCAGUCAUGCGUCUCGGUGAGGACCCUCCGGUCUCACGGCUCGGUGUGGACCCUCCGGUCAUGUGUCUCAGUGAAGACCCUCAGGUUUCACAGCUCGAGUUGGACCCUCCAGUCCUGUAUCUUAGUGAAGACCCUCCAGUCUCACAACUCGGUUUGGACCCUCCGGUCCUAACUCAGUAAGGCACAAAAUAAUAUAGCAUAUAUGACAAAGACAAAAUGCAUAAUAUCACAUAACUCAGUAUAAGCACAUAGGACCAUCCGGUCGAUAACUCAAAUAAGACCCUCUGUUCACAUAGUAUUACCACUCAGGUAAGUAUAGUGAUAAGACUCGUCUCGGAAGUAAGCAAAUAGAUCUAGUACCCCACGAACAGUUUAGACUCCGCCUACAUAAUAUAAUUAUCUCUAAUAAGCAAUUUGUAAUAACCAUUCCGAGAUGUUAAGCUAGCUCCCCCACUAAAUCUCAAAAAUGGUGAAAAUACCAUUUUACCCCUCCAUGGUCUCUAAGGUCCACAGUUGACCAAAC